AACUUUUCAUAUACCAAGCUUGACCUGUGCAUGCACCAUAACUGUAAAUAUAAAAACCCCUUACUAGAGCCCUCAUCAAAUGCUCUAGUGGGUCAACAUAACAUACAUCAAGCUUGGUUCAACAUAUCUCAUCAUUAAAACAUUUCAUAAAGAUCAUGUACCAACAGGGAUUAACCAUACAUUAGGGCCAAGCACAAUACUAAUCCUCAUUACAUUACUUUACAUUGCAUUACCUUACAUGUCCACUACUAUUCUAUUACAUAACAUAGCCAUUACCCUUGCUGACAUCCUGCUAACUCUGACCCUGCAAACCUGUGGGUUAGGGGAAAGGGGUGAGCUACAAGAGCCCAGUGAGCAGAACUAUAAAAAAUAUCAUAAUAAACCUAUGCUUUCAUGGAUGCGUCAUAGCACAAACAAUUCACAUCACGGAUGGACUGACCCAAAAAUCCCUCUACUCUGUGCCCGGCCCUCGGUGGAGCUCCUCAGGAUUUCUAUUACAUACAUAAGCUCUGUGCCCGGCCCUCGGUGGGGCUCCUCAGGACUUCUAUUACAUAACAUACUAUCUAGAGGGCUAAUGGGUCAUCCUGUUGUCCAUCCACACCCACAAUGAAUAAUGCAAUGCGUCAUAUUCGUGAAUUCUAAUGCAAAUAACUUGUUAAAUAUCAUGAUGCAUGAGCAUACUUAAAACAUUUCAUUUCUUGAAAUAAAAGAUUAGUUUAGUUCUACUCACCUCUGGCUGACUCUGAAUUAACUCUGUAGCAGCUAUCUCACUGCUGAUCACCUCGGUUCCUCAAGUCCGAUCCUACACAGGUGGACUCAAAUGAGGGACCAAACAUACUCUAACAUGACUCUAAACAACUUUCCAAAAAAUUCCCUAAAAUAUCAUAAAACAUGCAUAGGAAAUAGGCAAACGAAGGUUGGACAGGGGAUUUUCGGCGGCAGGUUCGGCGGCCGAAGGUCCCUCCAGAUCUGAAAGUCACAACCUUCGGGGGCAGGUUCGGCGGCCGAAACUCCCCUCCAGAGCCGAAAGUCCAACUUUCGGGGGCAAGGUUAGGCGGCCAAAACUGCCUCCCCUGGCAGGUUCGGCGGCCGAACCUUGAUUCGGCGGCCGAACCUGGAUCCUUCUAGGUGGCAGAACUCGAUUCUGCCAUCCCACAUUCAGCCAUCCCAAUAUCCCAACAUGCAUCCAACUAUACUAAAGCAUGCAUAAACACAUUUUCAAGUAUAUAGGGGCAUAAAACUAGCCUAUACCCCAACAAACAUCACAUUUAGCAUACAUUUAUCCUAAAUGGUACAUAAACCCUAACAUUUUACAACUAGCCUAAACAUGCAUCAAAACCCUUAAUCCCUUCUUAAAACUUACUUAAAACAUAAAAGAGGGUAGAGAUCUACACUUACCUCUUGAAGAUUGAGAGGAGAUGUGACCCAAACUUGGAGAUUGGGAGAAAUCGAGCUCCGGGGGUCUCCAAGCUUCAAAACUUUGAUCUUUAGCUUAAAAUCUUCAAAACAUGGUAAAAACUCAUAAAAACUCUAAGAGAUUUGAAGGAAAACAUAAAAUCAACCAUGGAGGGUCAAGAACUCACCUUUGUCCGAAAAUAGAGAAAAAAAACUCGCCCAUUUUCGGACAGGGGGCCUUUUAUAGGUGGCUGGCCAGGCCACCUUCGGGGGCCAAAGGUGCUUCCGCAAGAGCACCAAGUUCGGCGGCCGAACCUGGCUUUCUCCCUCCUUGGUCUUUUCUUUCAAAACUCAAUUUCUUUCUUCAUUAAAACCAUAAAACAUAUAAAAACAUUUUAGAAAAUAUUUAUUUUACCCUUCUAGAAGGCUCCGACAUCCAUGAAUUCCGGAUUCCAACGGAGAUUCCGCCGGAAGGUAGGAAUUCUGAUACCGGGGUCUAGCCGGGUAUUACAUUGGCCUUCAAGACUUGUACUUUGGCUACUUUUGCAUUACUAGAUCCUUUGCUUGGUAUACCUUUUUAUUUGGUUCAUUACCAGCUAUGAAUCGUUGUUUAUUCUGAGGUCGGUUGCCCCCAUUUUUGAGGCUAUCUACAUUCCAUUCAGAAGGGCUUCGUACUCAGCCAUGUUAUUAGAUGCUAGAAACCCGAAGCGCAGGGCAUAACAUACUUUAAACUCAUCAGGUCCUUUCAGAAGAAUUUCUGCCCCACUACCUGUGGAGCUCGACGCCUCGUCUACAAACAGAUUCCACACGAAUUCAUGCUGGUGCUGACUUCCCUCCCCUUCUUCCACUGAACUCGGCAGCGCAUUGUUCUAUUCAUCUCAAGUGUGCUGAAGGAGCAUUCAACUAUGAAGUCGACCAAGGCUUGUGUUUUAAUUGCUGUCCGAAGUCGAUAAAUGAGACAGUAAGGGCUAAUUUCUACUGACCAUGCUAGUAUCCAUCCUGAAAUUUCAGGCCUGUGUAAGAUCUUCUUCAAAGGUUGAUCAAUCAUUACUACUCCUUGGUGGUCUUACAGAUACAUCCUGAAUUUCCUCACUGCCAAUAACAAAGCAAAUGUCAAUUUCUCUAUGUUCAUAUAUCUAACAUCAGCGUCUUUAAGUAUCUUGCUGACAUAGAAGAUGGGUUUCUGGAUUCCUGCCUUUUCUCUUACUAGUACAGCGCUCACUGCCUGUUCUGAUGCAGUCAGGUAGAUCAAUAGCUCUUCUCCCACUAAUGGACUGCUAAGCACAUGUGGAGAGCUGAGAUAUUCCUUAAGGCUUUUGAAGGCCUCUUGGCAAUCUUCUGAUCGUUUGAAAUUCGGGACUUUCCUUAGAUUCUUGAAGAAGGGUAGGCAUCUCUCUGCUAACCUAGACAUAAAUCUGUUAAGUGCUACUACUCUUUCUGUGAGCCUCUGUACAUCCCUUACAUAAGUUGGCUCAGACAUACUCAAUAUGGCUUUAACCUUUUUUGGGUUCGGCUGUAUGUCUUUCUGACUGACCAUGUAGUCCAAAAAUUUUCCUCCUUUGAUGAACAAAGCGCAUUUCGCAGGGUUCAAUCUUAUUAUGUACCGCUACAGUACCCGAAAGACUUCUUCUAAGUCAAUCAGGUGUUGCUGGAAAGUUUGGCUUUUAACUACCAUGUUAUCGACGUACACUCUACAUUUCUCCCUAUCUGAUCUUUGAAGAUUUUAUUCAUCAGUCACUGGUAUGUCACCCUCGCAUUUUUCAACCCAAAAGGCGUAGCUUUAUAGCAAUAUGUACCAUCCUCGGUUGAUUUACUGGGGCAGUUGGGCUAGAAAAUGAGAACUGUGGACCUUUCUUGUUUGAACUCAGUUCGUUUGGAGUAUUUUCAGUAUGAUUUUCACUGUGAUUGGCCAUGUGGAUCUCAGUGGGUGAAAUGAGAAUGAGAAUUCUGGUAUGAAAAGAUCUCUUUCGUUCCCACAAGCGGUGCUAAUUGAUGUAUGAGAUCCAAUAAGAGUAGGCUUAGAGUGUAUUUUGGUAAGUUUGGUUUAUUUCUCCCCUGAUUCCUUUUAUUCUUUUUCUUUUUUGUCUUCUAGUGACGUGUAACCGCUGUCCUACGCUCGUACCCUCCUGUCAUAGUCACGCCGGCCGUACGUACAGACAUAUGUGGACAUGUCCGGACAUCACGGGUUUGUUAUCCCACGAAAUUAACGGGUUAUUCGUGACUAGACCCCUAUAUGUAACCCUGUCCUCAGUCCGACUCAUCAAAAUAAGUCCAAUGCUUAUAUAUGCUAUAGGCUUCGACAUUGAGCUCUAAUAGAAUUAAAGCCCGACUUUCUUAAAAUGGGCUCAGCGGAGUGUCAUGACCCGAUCGUCAUCAAUUAAUAUAAUAUAGAUAAUAUUAUAAAAAAAGUAAUAUCACAUUUAAUUUUAUUUAAUUUUUUUAUAUCAUUUCCUAAAAUACAUUAGUUCUACUUUAUAGUAUUUAUUAAGUUUUUAAAUCAUUAGCAUCAUAUAUAAUUAUAGUUGAUGUUCUGAGAUCCAAAGAAAAUAGGGUUUUCAAUAGUUGUCUCUGCCUUCCCAGGGAGGGAGGUGUCCCUCCCCUUUUAUUCCUUUCCUUUUGUCUGCUAGUGACGCCUAACGGCUUCUCUGCUGCAGUGCUUCCUGUCUCUGUCACGCAGGUCCGUACGUACGGAAGCGUUAGACGCCCUCUCCACGCCAGACGGUCAUUUAAUUUCCUCCAGCGCGCGUGUAGACAGGGCUACGAGGUGACUGAGCCUGCUGUCCUUCCUCCUGUCACGUCAUCGGGCCGAGCUCCUGGUUAGUGGGCCUGGGUUUGUGAGUGGAAAGGUUCACUUUGUGGGAUUGAGUUAGGGCUGAAAGGGUUGGACCGGCCUGUUGAGGAAGCUUCGUGGGCUUUGGCCAGUGUUGCCUUUAUGGGCUCGGCCCCCUACUGGAAUGCGUGAGACUCGACAGUCAUCAAUUGCUCCUUUACCUUCUCAACAGUUAUUACAUGAGUGAUGAGAGGGUAAAUAUCUAGUCUCUCUUAAUGACCGUGCGGCUCGAGAACGGUUCCAUCAAAACGUCUCUUCUUUGCUUUACUGUCUUUAGAAUUCAAAAAUCCCCAAAUCUUUACAGAACUUUCCUCCUUCACUUGCUCUCUGUGCACUUCAUUUCUCUCGUAUUCUCGCCAAACCAUUUUCAAGGUACGUUUCUUGUUCUACCAUGGAGGGUCCUAAACUUCCUGAUGUGAUGAACCUAGAGUCUACUGUCACUCCUUCUUCUCUCGCUAUCCUAUUUUCUCGAGAGUAUUUGGAUACUCCUUUAUUUCGGAGUAAGGCUCCUCAUCGCAAUGAGAGGAUCGUCCUUCCCGAUCCUCCUGUCUCUGGUCUCGUUGAUCCCUAGAGGGACCGUAGUCUAGUCUUCUUUGUCAAACAGUGCGAGUUUGGUUUAACUUUUCAUUUCACUCCAUUCUUUAUCGAGGUUUUUCGGUAUUUUGGGAUAACUCCCCGUAUGCUUGCCCCUUACUCGAUUCUUUUCAUGUGCUCCUUCGAGUCUGUUUGUCUGAGCUGGGGUUUCACUCCUACAGCUCGUCUGUUUUCCACCUUCUUCCGACUGGUCUGUGCCAGCCAGUGUUUUUAUUAUUUUGCCUCCCGGGGAGGACUGUCUAUCUUUUCGGAUCACAAAGAUUCCAUUAAAAGCUGGGCAGAGGGUUUCGCCGUUGUGUAGCUAAAGGAGGGUUCCGGGCUAUCCUGGCAAGUAGAUCUCCCUUGGAGGGAUGUGCCCCCUGGUAGCAAUGACAUCCCUCAGCUGACCCUCUCCGAGCAGGUCGGCCUUUUCAGACUGACUUCUGUUAAGAAGAAGUAUGAUGUCGAGAAGUGCAUGUUUGUGUCCAGUCUUCAGGACUAUAAGGACGUUGGUAUUAGUUUUGUUGGUGUGUCAUAUUCCUUUAUUCUUGUCUACUAUUUGGUAUGUUUCUAACUCAUUUGAUUUCUGUUUUUGCAGCUUCCAAACUUCCCAUGGAUCAAAUCAAGCCCCCGAAGAAUUUUGUUUUAUCUCGGGAGAGCAUGAGGGCGGCUCUGGAUGCCUUCCGAGCUGGCUUGUCAGUGGCUGAUGCGACUCAGAAGGUCGCUGAGAUUAUCUCCCCCCACUCUACUGGUCGGGCCAUUUCCCGUGCCCCAGCCCCUUCCCGUACUAUGGCACCGGGCUCCAAGGGUCCUUGUUCGGGAGCUUUUAGGGCCUCUAGUCGUAGCAGGUCUCACUCCUCCUCCCGGUCUCCCGCAGCUCCAAAGUCAAAGCCGGCCUCAGUAUCGGCCUCCUGGGAGCUCGUUGCCAUUGAAGAAUCUGCUCAGGAGGUUCCACAAGGAAAGGAUGAGGUCGUUCCCACUACUGGGGGCAUUCCUCGGGAAAGCGACGAGGUUCCCUUGGCCGUUGGGGGUGCUUCUGAAGGUGGAGCCGAGGUCGUCCCAGUCGGUGGGGGUAUCUCUGUGGUCAAGGCAAAGGCCAAAGCCAUCUCAGCUGCUCUCCGCUCGAAGAAGACCUCGGCUAGCAGCAGUGUCGUGGUCAAGGAGGCCGUUGGCAAGCGAACUUCUUCCUCGAAGGUUCCUGCUGAGGUUCCAGCCCCAAAGAAGGCCUGCGUGUCUGAGCGGCCUGCCCUAGUUCUCCCUCCCACCGAGAAGGCAAAAAUGCCUGUGGAGCUGUUGUCUUCUGCCCCGGACAAUGAGGUUUUGAACGCGGAUGAGAUCACUCCUUAGUGCCCCGCGAGCCGCGUUGUCGAGCUAUUACUGGAGAGGAUGUUCAGCGGGGUCAUUGAGGCUUCAGACCCACGCUUGCUUGCCCUCACCGGCCUCUUAGCCUGUUCUACUUGAGAGCAUGUGGCUUUUCGCUCCCGGACUCGGGAGAAGUUAGGGGAUACAGUCAGGAAGAUGCUUCUAAUGGUAAGUUAUUCUUUCUUUUUUGGUUUAUUUCUUGCCUUUGUUGUUUUCUGAUCUUGUCAUUGUCAAUAAGCUCCCUUGCCCUCCUUCCGUGGACUCUGGCUAUUAGUUCCUCUCCACCAGCUCCUCUGCUUCCUACUCCGGCUCUGUGGCUGCUUUGUUGAGGGGCUGGGUGGUUGAAGGUGGGUUGAGGUUCUACGACAGGGAUUGCUUCCACUACGGGAGACACAUUUAACGGGGCAUUGAGACCCCUCUGUUGCAUUAUUUACUCCAGCCAGUGGGCGGUGUUUUGUAGUUGAAGGGCUAUGGUUUGGAGCUCUUGGUUGGAGAGGGUGUUUUGGGGCGUGUUUCCUGCUGAACUUGGUGAAGGAACAUGCAGCAUUGGUGGUUGGCUGGUGGGGUUGUGGGGCUAGAAAAAGAGAACUGUUGCCCUUCCUGGGCAGAGCUCAGGUCAUUUGGGGUGUUAACAGCGUGGUUUUUAUUGUGGUUUGCCAUUGUGGAUCUCAGUGGGUUUUACAAGAAAGGAAACUCCAGUGAUGAAAAGAUCUCCUUCGUUUCCCACCGACGGCGCCAAUUGAUGUUCUGAGAUCCAGAGAAAAUAGGAUUUUAAUAGUUAUCUCUGCCUUCCCAGGGAAGGAGGUGUCUCUCCCCUUUUAUUCAUUUCCUUUUGUCUGCUAGUGACACCUAACGGCUUCUCUGCUACAGUGUUACUUGUUUCUGUCAUGCAGGUCCGUACGUACGGAAGCGUCAAAUGCCCUUUUCACGCAAGACGAUAAUUUAAUUCCCUCCGGCCCGCGUGUAGACAGGGCUGCGAGGUGACUGGGCCUGCUGUCCUUCCUCCUGUCACGUCACCGGGCCGAGCUCAUGGUUAGUGGGUCUGGGUUUGUGAGUGGAAAGGUUCCCUCUGUGGGAUUGAGUCAAGGCUGAAAGGGUUGGACCGACCUGCUGAGGAAGUUUCGUGGGUUUUAAAAGGGUUGGCUUUAUGGGCUCGGCGCCGAGAGGCCCGACAAUCAUCAAUGGUUAUAACUUUUUUAAAUAUAAUUAAUUUUUAUAUAAUAUUUACAAUUUAUAGAUUUAUCCGUAUGUAUGAAUUAACUUAUUGUUAAACAAUUUCUUACUAAUUUUUGUGUGUAUAUGGUACUGAUUGCUUAUAUUAUUAAAAAUUUGAGAAAAUAAUUAAUAUAACAUGAGUACUAAUAUAAAAUAAUUGAUUGUGUUAUAGAUUAUAAAAUUAUGUAUAAAAUGAAAGAGUUUAAUUUCAUAUUAUUUGUAAUUUCUUAAUUGAAAUUAUUAUCUUAAUUGAUUGUAUUUAGAAUAUAAUUUAUUAUUAUAUAUCAAAUAAUAACUAUUUUAUUUAAAUGUAAAUUUAAAUUUUUAAUUUGAAUAUAUUAAAUUUUCAUUAGUAUUACACAUUUCUAUUUUUUAUGAAAUCAAAGAAUUAAAAAUAUAUAUAUAUAUAUAUAUAUAUAUAUAUAUAUAUAACUUAUUUGUUUCUUCAUAGAAAUCGGCAUAUUUAGUUGCAUAGUAAAGGUAUAGUUUUCUUUUUAAAAAAUUAAAUUAUAAUAAAAAUUAAUUUAAAUAAAAAUAGACGGAAAGAAUUUUGAAUUUAUAUGAACUCUAUAAUUAAUAUUCAAACAACAAAAUUUAAAAUAAAUAAAUUUAACAACAAAUUAAAUUAAAUUCUAAAUUUAAAUAAAUAGUAGUUAAUUAAAUAAAUAAAUUUAACGAUAAAUUAAAUUUAAUCUUGAAAUUUAAAUAAAUAGUAUUUAAGUAAGAAUAAAGAACUGUAAAUAUAUUUCAACUCUAAAUUGAUUUAUAUGUAAACUUAAAAAUAAAUUAAUCUUAAUAGCCAGAAAAUUUUAAUUUUUUAUUGUAAAUAAUUUAAAAAAACUAAGGCUAUUUUUGAAAUUUCCAUUAUUUUUAUUUUUUUAUAUUUAUAUUUAUAUAAAUUAUAGAUUAAUGAAGAAAAUGAAAAUUAAACCAAAUUUGUUUCAUGGGACUUGGUUUGCAAUCAUAAUGGACAAGAACAUUGGAAUGUUUGGCCAUUUCAUUAAUCUCCAUCCUAAUAAUUAAAGGUUUAUUUAGAUAUUAAAAAAAUUAUAUAAUUAUUAAUGCAUAUUUUAAAAAUCAACAUAGACAAAUAUUUUUUUUUUGACAAAAAAAAUUCAUAAUAAGAAGAGCAACCUUUUCAUUUAUGUGAAAGAAAAAUAUAAAUAAAAUUAAAUACCAUUAUUGAUGAAACAAGAAUUGAAUUCUCAACCUUCCACUUCAUUGAAAUGCAUGCAAAGCAUUUAGUGAUCGUUACAUAGGAAAAGAAAAAGAAAAUUAGGCUCUAAAAAUCUGAAAAUGGGUUGGAGUUAUUGAUUGUUUACUUUAUAUUUCAGUGGUAGACGAGCAUUCAAAACCUAACAAAUCCAUGCCAUUACCAGCCAAACUCUACCACUGAUUCAAUUGAUUGCCAUUAAAAGCAUUUAUAUGCAACUUUAAUUUCUUUUUCAUAAUUCUUCUCUCUAAAUUUGACUAUCUCAUUCUUCAUGUUUUAAGGAAAUUUUAAAUAAUAAUCAUAAAGAAUUCAGAGUUAGGUGGUUUUUAUACCCAACUCCACCUUUAAAUUCCGGUUGCUUUUCUCGGUGAUAUUCUUCGAUACUCUUUGUUGUCAUCUUAAAUUCACCGCAGAUGACCGUCGGAUUUUCUAUAUCCGGAAUGAGACCGAGCUCGAAAGAAAAAAAUAAGCUCAAAAUUUAUCAGACCAUCCUCGAAUAGACUGACCCACUACUGCAAAUCCAAACCCGGACACAUGGACAGGCCGAAUGGUUCAUAGGAGCGGGCCCAACAGGAGAUAAUCCAGCCAAGUGAUAUGACGUGAGAGAGAAUAGCUAGUCCAGUCAUUUUGUAGCCUUAUCAGCACGCGUAUCGAGGGAAUUAAAUGACCGUCUAGUGUGGAAGGGUGUUCUGACGCAUCCGUACGUACAGAUUUGAGUGACAGAGACAGAUAACACUAUAAUAGAGAGGCGAUUAGACAUCACUUGCAGAUAAAAAGAAAAGGGCCGACGAAACUUACACACCCAUCGUAAACUCUAUUUUCUGAAUCUCAAAAUAUGAACCAUGACUGAUUGUUUCUGUUCUUUUUUAUGUUCAUCAGUAAACUGAAUAAUGAGAAAUUAUUCGAUAUAAUUGUUGCAUUUAUAAUGAUCAAAUAUUAUUGAUUAUAGUGAAAUUUAUAUAAAAUUUGCCCAUAAUUAUAAUAAAAUUAUAUAUAUAAUUUAUAUUAUAAAAAUUCUCUCAAAUAAUAUUAAUAUUUUCAUAUUAAUAUUUCUGACCAUAUCUAAAAAAUUUUGCUAGUCACUAAUGGCGUGAUAUUAAAAUUAUUAUUUUGAUAUAAGUUGAAGAACGAUCUCUAAAAUAAAAAAUAAUUAUAAGAUAUUUUUUGCUUAAUUAUAUUAACCAUAUUUUUUUAGUGCAUACAAAAAAAAAUUCAUCUUCAUGGAAGAGGGUUAAAACCACUUCUGCAACAAGUUAAAUGACAAAUUACAAAAGCUGGCUUUGCUACAGCUGACAUAGACUCAAGAGUUUCUGGGGUUAAACUCCUAUAAUAAUAAUUAAUAAUUUGGUUAGGGGAGGCAUUAAUGAUGUCAUUAUUAGUGACAAAGAUAGAUAGCAACAUAUUAGCAGCUAUGAUUAAUUAUUCUUCAAGGAAUUCAAAUGAGAAAUUAAAGUAAUGAAUGUGGAGAAACUUUUCUGGAAAGUACAUAUGAUUUUGAUUGAGUCUAUUAUCUAUCUAGGGUUUGGAUUUUCAAAAUUCUGACCUAGAUUCUCAUAUAACUAUAUUGCAUUAUGAUUCAUUUAAGUAAAUCUUUGAUGACCGCCGGAUCUCAUCUACCGUGAAUGAAGCCGAAUUCAAAAAAAUAAUGCAGACUCAAAACUCAUGAAAUCUGUUUUAGCUGACCGAUUCAGCAUUUCAAGUCUUGACCUGGACUCGCAGGACAAGCCGGGUCGACCGCGAGCCCAGGUUCAGCGAGAAGCAGUUCAGCCCGGUGAUGUGACGUGAGGAAGGAUAGUAGGUCCACUCAUUUCGUAACCCUGUUUGCAUACACGCCAAAAGAAUUAAAUGACCGCCUGACGGGUCUGACACAUCCAUACGUACGAAUCUAAAUGACAGAAACAGAUGAUAGCAGAACGACCGUUAGACGUUACUAGUAGAUAAAAGGAAAAGAAAUAAAAUAAAGUAACAUCUUUCUAUCCAUAUAAGUUUACUAUCCAUAUAAGUUUACAUUCAUAUUGUAAAUUUUAUUUUCUGAAUUUCAAAACAUCAAUUCUCAACAUAAAAUAUAUUAAUAUCUUACUAUUUAACCUUAGACAUAAAAUAAAACUUAUAUAAUAUUAAUAACUUACUAUUUAACCUUUGAGAUAAAAUAAAACUUAUAGUAGACCUGUAUUUUAGAAUUUAAUUUUUAAAAUUUUAUUUUAUUAAUAAAAUAAUUUAUUUAAUUACAAUUUAUUCUUAUAUUUUUAUAAGUUAAUUUUUAAAUAUUAUAAUUAUUUAUAAAUAAAUACUUAUAUUUGCAUAAAGUAAUUUUUUUCAUAUUUAAUCAAUUGUAAUAUUUUAUAUUUAAAAAAUAAAAUAAAAUAAACAAUUUAGAUGCAGUAUUUCGUCCAAAUUCAAGUUAAAGAAUUUUUUUUUCCAAUUUUUCAUCUCAUCAUUUAAUUUUCUAUUUUAAUUAAUCUAGUAGAUUCUUUAUUUAAUUUUCAUUUUGUUCAAAUGUAAGAUAUUUAUUAAAUUUAAAUAUUUUUAAAUUUGAAAAAUGAAAAUUAAAUAAGUAUACAACAAUUUAUUUAUAAAUUGUUACUAAAAAAUAUAAAAAGUUUAAAUCAAUAUUAUUUUAUUAAUACAAUAAAAUUUUAAAAAGUUAAUUUAAAAAUAUAAAAACUAAAUUGUAAGUUAAUUUCAUUAAAAUUCAGAUAAAAAAACAUUAAAUCACGUUAUGGUUGUUUAUAUUUGAUUUGGUAUUUGAAACGAUAAGAAUAAAAAUUUAAGGAUUUAAAAUUUAAUUCAGAUCAAGCCGGAAUUUAAAUAAUAAUAUAUAUUAUAAUAUGAUAGUAAUAUUUCUAUUACAAUUAUUGUUUUAUAUAUCUUAUAAAUAUUUUUUAAAAUAAAUUAACUUAAAUUUUAAAAUAAAAAGUAUUUAUUGAAAAUAAAAUUUUAAAUUUUAAAUAUUAACAUCAAUUUAUAUAAUUAAAAAUUACUUAAAACUUAAUUAAAAGUUUAUAAUAUCUAAAAAAAUAUAAAUAUUAAUAUAUUGAAAUGAUAUAAUAAAAUAAAUAUAAAAUUUUAUGUAUUUUUUCAUUUUAUAAAAAUAAUAUAUAAAAAAUAUGUAAUAACUUAAUUCAAUUAAUAACAUAAAUUUGCAUUAUUAAGAAGUUUUUCUUUAUAAUAAUAUGUUAUAAAAAAAUACAUAUAUUUUGCAAAAUUAAAUUAUUAUUACUUAAUUUAAGAUUUACAAUAUAAAAUUAUAUUUGGAAAUGAUGUAUAAUGAGAAAAUAAGCAACACACCCUCUUCAACACGUGGAUACGCAAUACAAUUUCAGAUCAUAUAAUAUCUGUAUGGUUGAAUUGUACUUAAAUCAAUUUUAUUAUUUUAAUAUUUUAAUAUUUUGUAGAGUUUAUUUUAAAUUAAUUUAGUCUUAAAUUUGUGCAACUCUAUUAGGAAGAAAAUUUCUUUAAAACAAUUUAGAAAAAUAAUCUUUAAUAUAAUAUAGAUUUACCUAUUUGACUUGAUACUCUCCCUAUAUUAGAAUUAUAUUUCUUGUACUAGAAUUAGAAUUUUAAAACUAUAAAAACAUCAUUAAGAUUGCCCGUCACGAAUUAUUAUUAAUUGAUCAAUAAAAUAAAAGAAGCUGAUUUCUCUCCAUAGUGAAAAUUUAUUCUUAAAACUUGAGUUUUUCUCUAUUGUUUAGUAAUUUAUCAAGACUCAAUAUUGUAGCAUUUAAAUAUAAAUUUUUUUCGUACUUAGUUAAUUUAUUAAAAAUUUCUUAUGACGUUUUCUAACUGAAAUUGUUUAAUUAUUUAUAUUACUAAUCAUAUUGGUUGAUUAAUGAUUAGGGUUACAUAAGAGUAAUCCUAAUCAACCAAUAUGAUAUUUUUGCCUUAUCUUUUGUCAAGUUUUAUGACAGAAUUAGAUUCUGCUUGAUAACAAAACUUGGUAAUUAAAAAAUUCAUAUUUAUUUAUAUUUUCUUGUUUUAUUAUUUAUUUUCAGUUUCAUUAUUUUAUUUCAGCUAGUGAAUCUAUGGUUCAUUUGUUUUAUUUUUCAUCUCAUUUAUUUAAAAAAAAUAGAAAAAGUCAGUUAUAUUUUUAUUAAAAAAAAAAGAGAUAUCAAAGUUUAGUAUUUUAUUCGUGAAGUUUUAAAUUGAAUUUAAAAAUUUUAUGAAAAUCAUAAAAAAUGCCAUCCAGAAAGAGAAUAAACAAACUAUCAAUAAUGAUGUAAAUCGAUUUGAAAAUAAUGAAAAGGUGAUUCUACGUCUAAAUAUUAUUAUAUGGAAAAAAGUGAAGAAGAUGUGAUAGAAAGUAUUUUGACCGAUCAAUAAUAAAAAAAUUUAAGUUGCCACUGUAAUUAUUGAAAAACACAAUUAAUAUGAAGAUGAUUUUCAAAACAUUAUAAUUGAGCAAAUUUUGAUAUUGGCUCUAAUUUUGAUUCAAAUGAUUAUUUCAUUCAAGAAUUCAAGAGAUUCCAUUUGCAUUUGAUAUUCUUGUAUAAGACAACUUAUAUGGAGAUGAUUCCGUGCAUGUUGAUCAUUUUCUUGUCAUGGAGGUUAAAGAUUUGAGGAUGAAUUUUUUUUGAGAAAGGAGAGAAUGAUGAAAGCACGGAAAUGAUAUGCAUUGAAAUCUUUACGCUCUUCAAAGAUUCAAUAUAAGAAGUUUUAAAUCAUGACAAAUCAAAUUACAAUCGCUUAACUCAAGACUUAAGAUGAGAACUAUAUUUAGAAAGUAUGAAUAAUGAAAUAACAAGUCACAUGUGAAUGUGCAAUACAAUUUCAUAUCGCGUAAUGCAUAUAUAACCGAAUUAUAUUUAGAUCAAUUUUGUUAUUUUAGGAUUUUGUGAGAUUUGUUUAAAUUAAUUUGAUUUAUUUUAAAAUCUAAAUUCGUGUGGUCUUAUUCAGAAAAAAAUUUCUCCAAAAUAAUUCAAAAAAAUUAUUUUUAAUAUAAUUUAAAUUUAACUAUUUGACUUGAUAUUUUUCAUAUACUUUAAUUAAGAUUUCGAGACUAUAACAUUAUUAUUAAGGUAUUAGUUGAUCAAUAAGAUAAAAAAGUUAAUUUUUCUCCAUAAUUCUAAUUUAUUCUUAGAACUUUGAUUAUUCUCUAUUAUUUAGCAAUUUAUCAAGACUCAAUCUUGUGGCGUUCUAAUAUGGAUUUUCUCCCUACUUAGUUAAUUUAUUAAGAAUUUCUUGUAACAUUCUAAUAUAGAUUUUCUCCCUACUUAGUUAGCUUAUUAAGAAUUUCUUGUGGCAUUUUCUUAUGGAAAUUGCUUAAUUAUCUAUAUUACUAAUCACAUUGAAUACAUUUAUUAAAAGUUACCGAUUCAAUUUGAAAAAUCAGAUAUACUUUAAUCCGAUUUCUAAUUAAAUCAAUUGAUUUAAUCCGAUUUUAAUAACUAUAAUUUUAAUAGCGAAUAAUAAUUAACUAAAUAUUAUAAGUAAUUAUUAUAAUCCAUUAUCAAUAACAUAUUAAAUAUUAAAUUUUAUUUGCCUUAUGGAAAAUAUUUUUUAAGAAUUUUUUUUAAUAUUUCUAGUGUUUGGAUUAUUAAAAAAACUUUAAUCAAUGAAAAAUAUUUUUAUAGUCAAAGAAAUAAAUAAAUCAUAUUAAAAAAAAAUAACUUUCUCUUUUGAAAAGAAAAUAAUUUUUGACACCUGAAAAUUCUUAUUAACAUCUCUAUAUACAAAUAUAUUAAUAAUUUUUAUUUUUCAAUUAAAAUUAAAUAAUAAAAGUAAAUUAUCUCAUUAAAAAUUAUUUUUUAUAAAAAAUAUUUUCUAUAAAAAAUAUUUUUAUAUAAAUUAUUUUUUCGUAAAUAAAUAAAUUUUUAAUUAAAUUAAUACACUAAAUACCAUCCUCAAAACCGCUGCGAUACAUGACCUUCAUCUCCAUUGUUGGUCUAAUUGUACUUGGCAUUCUGUUCAUUGUUCAAGUAGAAAUCAAUGCAAUGAAUGUAUUUAUUAAUUAUUUAUUUAUUGGUUCGUCUGAUUUAUCAGUUCAGUGGUUGAGCUGUUGCUUCCCAUGCAAGAGUUAAUAGUUUUCUUUUUCUUUUUUCUUAGAAAAAAGCCCUAUUUUCUAUGAUAAAUCGGUUCAUGCUCAUAUUUCUAGAGUAAAAUAAUUUAAAUUAUAUAUGUAAUAAUUAAUAAUUUUUAACUUAAAAUCAUUUUAUUUUUAAAUUUAUAUGUUCUCAAAUUCAAAUUUUAGUAGAAUCAAAUAAAAAAAUAAAUAUAUAAAUAAAAAAAUUGCCAAAGUGAUUAUGCAAUUAUAUUAUUAGCAUUCGUAAUUUCUAUAUUUCCAUACAAGAAAAGUUAAAAUUUUUUUUUUAUAAAAGAUAUUUUUUAUAUACAAGUUGUAAACAGUAUGGGUGAGUAUUGGAUUGAUUCGAUUUAAAAUCGAACCAAAUUGAAUAAAUCAAAAAUUAAAAUUUUAAUAUUUAUAAAAAUCAAAUCGAAUUGAUUUUAGUCAGAAAUUGAAUCGAACUGAAUCAGUCCGAUUCGGUUUGAUCAGUUUAAAUUUUUAAUAAAUUUUUAUUUUUUAUACUUUAUUUUUUAUGUUUUAAAAUUUAAUUAAAAUAUUUUAAUUUUAAUAUGAUCUAAUCUCUCUAAAUUAUUAAAAAUAAUAUAUUAUUAUCAUUAAUCGAUUCGAUAUGAUUUUUUCAAUUUUUUUCAAAUUAAAACUGAAUCGAACUGAAAUAAUAAAAAAUUUUAAAAUUAAAAAUCAAAUUAAAUUAAUAUAAAUAAAAAAUUAAAUUAAAAUUUUAAAUUAAUUUAAUUUGAUCAAUUUUUUCAGUUUGAACCGAAUAUUGUACAUCUUAAUGCACAUAGCAUUAAUCUUCCAUACUGUACUGAACGAGUGAAAGCUCACACUCCCUAGAAGUUAAAACCCCACCAUAAAGGAAUUUAUAGAAAGCAACUUGGGAUGGGAUAGGUGUAAGCAAGGACUGCUAGCAAAUAGUAGUAACAUUAAAUUGAUGAUCACAUCAAUAGUGCAACAAUAAUAAUUAAAAUUUUUUUCAAAAUCACUUAAUAAAACUAUUAUUCGAUUCAAAUUACUUGCUCUUUGGGAAGGGAACUUCUCAAGGAAGUAACUAAAAGUUCCUUAACAAUCCUCAAACAUUGUCUUGCUAAGAUCAGAUAUGCCGAAUCUGAGUUGAGAGAUGGUAGGUCAUAGCUCAGGUCAGAGCAAGGCACCAUCGAAUGUUCAAUAGGCAGUCUCACGAUCGAGCGUGAGUGUCUGGAAGUUGUCAUUGUAUACUCUUGCGGUUCGGAAGGCAGCGAGGGAAGGCUUUUUAUCUUAUAUAUCGCAUGGGUGUAUAAAGGAAAUAGAAAUUUGUUACUUCCCCACAAUAAAAGAAGUGUUAUCAGAAAGUUAAAGAAACAAUGGCUGGCCAAACAAACAAAAUUUUAGCAUUUUUUAGGAAUUUGAAAUUUCUUAGUUGAAUUAACUAACCAAAUAAGGCCAAAGAGUACGAAUUUACAGAUAUAGCAGGAAAAAAUGCAUGUUCUACCAAUAAAUACUUAACCUUUUCAAGUAAUGGAAGGGAAGAAAGGCAAAACUAGCUAUAAACUGAUAGCCAAAAUAAAGGGAAGCAGCCAGGUUAAUAACCAUACUUCAACAAAAUGCAUCAGUACAUAGUAAUAAGUUGGCAGUUCAAGAUAAGUAACACUGGUAGGUCAAGUCAUAAUUAUUUUAUUUAUGUUUAUCAAGCAAAAUAAAUGAUAUGAAAUUCUUGAAUAUCACAAUGACAAGAGCUGAAAAUUAAUGGGUGAAAUGAAGGUUGCUUACACUUGCUCUUCUUUGAGGCUAAAUUUAAUGGGUGCCUUAAAAUUUACAUUCCUGUUAGUUGAAGACUUUGAAAAACAAUAAAUAUUGAUAGAGUGUGAACACAAUCUGUAUAUAAUUAUAGGAGAUUAUAUACUUAUAGACUAAUUGAUUGAUAGAAGAUUUUUAGGAGUUGUCUUAACAAAAUCUUGUAAUCUGUAUAUAUAUACUUAUUUCAAUGGAGAAAUAUAUGAAAAUUACUCAAUUAUUCCUUAUCUUAUUAUAUGGUAUCAAAGCCAUUCAUGUAGAGAUUUAAUUUUUUUUUUCUCUUUCGUUGAGUUUUAAUUUUUUUUUGGAGAUUUAGGACUCCUAUUCUUUUAGGUUACUCAUCUAGGGUAAUAUUUGUCUCUCACCGCCCAUCUUGGGAGGACGCCAGAGUCGCCUUGCAGCCCCCUUAUCAGAUCUGUGGUUUGUUUGCUGUUUGGGUGUUAGGUUGAGGCAUUUUUGAUAUUGUUUAUGCCAGGUAUUGUUCACUGGGUUACUGGUUAUUGGAUUGGAUUUUGUUAUUUUCCUUUAAUUCGUUUGAAGGUAUAGGAGUAUAAGGUUUUGGUUGAAAUGAUUUCUGACAGUAAGACCUAUAUUAUUAAAAUUAUUCCAACGUCUUCAGUAGCGGCUGAGACAGGUAAAACGUGUCUUAUUUCAUCUUCAUAUAAAUGGGUCAUUAAUUCUGGUGCCACAAAUUACAUGACAGGUAAUCCUCAUAUUUUUACUGGCUUUCGAUCUCAUAAAGCACAUUCUUCUGUUAUUAUAGCUAAUGGAUCAACCUAUAAUGUUGAGGGUUCUGAAACUGUUAAACCUACUUCUUCUAUUACCUUACUAUCAAUACUAAGUUUACCUAAUCUUGCCUUUAAUUUAAUCUCUAUGAGUAAACUUACCAAGGAUCUAAAUUGUUGUGUUUCUUUUUUUUCUAAUCAUUGUCUCAUUCAGAAUCUUGUGACGAAGUAGAUUAUUGGUAAAGGACAUAUAUCUGAAGGCCUCUACAUUUUGGAUGUAUGGGUGUCUCGGUCUAUUGUCUGCUCCAGUGUCAUGUCUUCAUUUGAAGCACAUUAUCGGUUGGGAUACCCUUCUUUACCGGUUUUGAAGAAGCUAUGCCCUCAAUUUCAUGAGGUAUCUUUACUGGAAUGUGAGUCAUGUCAUUUUGUAAAACAUCAUCGAAGCUCUUUAAGUCUUAGAGUCAAUAAACAAGCUAAGUCUGCUUUUGAAUUAGUUCAUUCAGAUGUUUGGGGCCCAUGUCCAAUUGGAUCUAAGACUGAAUUCAGAUAUUUAAUCACUUUUGUGGAUGAUUACUCUAGAAUGACUUAGAUUUAUUUUAUGAAGUAUCGUUAAGAAGUAUUUUCUUAUUUUUCUGCCUUUUGUGCUGAAAUCAAGACUCAAUUUAAUAUUUUUGUGCAAAUUUUGUGGAGCGACAAUACUAAAGAAUAUAUGUCAGAAUCAUUCCAAACUUAUAUGAUUCAACAUGGUAUUCUUUACUAAUCGUCAUGUGCUGAUACACUCGCUCAAAAUAGGAUAGCUGAAAGAAAGAAUCGACAUCUGUUUGAGACUACUCGAACUCUGUUAUUUCAAAUGCAAGUUCCUACGCAAUUUUGGGCAAAUGUUGUCUCUACUGCAUACUUUCUCAUUAAUCUCAUGCCCUCCACACUACUAAACAGUAAUACUCCUUAUAAUGUCCUAUUUCCUAAGAAACAAGAUAGUUUGACAGCACUUACUAUGUUUGGGAUGUCAGAUCUCAUGUGACUAAACUUGAUCCUAAAGUUUUGAAGUGUGUUUUUUUAAGAUAUUCUCACCUUCAGAAGGGGUAUUGAUGUUACUCUCAAGACCUCAACAAAUAUCUAGUCUCAACAGAUGUAGCCUUUUUCCAGGCAAAUUCCUUUUUAUUCUAUUGUACAAACCUCUCAUGAUCAAGAGGAGGACGAUGAGUAGCUCAUCUAUAGAAUCAUAUCUGAUGGUGAGACCUUUUCGAGUAUGCCUUCUGCUGUACAAUCUAAUGGUAACAUUCUUCUAGUACUUAGCCUCCUAUUAAACCGUCAGUUGUUCAAGUUUACUCUCGGAGACCAGUACCUGAUGAUACAUUUCCUGUACCAGAAUCUUCUUCUCCAUCGGAUCCACGACCGAGUGACAUUGACCUCCCUAUUAAACCACAAUGUAAAUCUACCUAUUCUGUUGCUAAGUUUCUGUCUUAUGAUCAUCUGUCUCCUUUUUCUACCUCCUUAAUUGUCUCUCUAGAUUCAAUUUCUUUGCCUAAAACAGUUAAAGAGGCCCUGACUCAUUCUAGAUGGCAUGAUGCAAUGUUUGAAGAGAUUAAGACUCUAGAUGAAAAUCAUACUUGGAAACUAGUUGAUUUAUCUUCUAGUAAGAAUUUUGUGCGCUGUAAAUGGGUUUUUGCCAUCAAAGUCAAUCUAAAUUAUUCUAUAGCGAAGCUUAAGGCCCGUCUUGUCGCCAAAGGUUAUAUCCAAAUUUAUGGCAUUGACUAUUCUAACACUUUUUCUCUUGUGGCAAAAAUGACCUUAGUUUGCUUAUUCAUCUCCCUAGCUGCUUCUCAGCAUUGGCCUUUACACCAGUUAGAUAUCAAGAAUGUAUUUUUACUUGGUAACCUCCAAAAGGAGGUGUAUAUGGAGCAACCACCAGGGUUUGUUGCUCAAUGGUAGGGGUGAGCAUUCGGUCGGUUCGGUUUAAAAUCAAACCAAAUCGAAUAAACCAAAAAUCAAAAUUUUAGUAUUUAUGAAAACCGAACCUAUUUUGGUCAGAAACUGAAUCAAACCGAAUCGAUCUGAUUCGGUUCGAUUCAGUUUGGUUUGAUCGGUUUCGAUUUUUAAUAAAUUUUUUAUUUUUUACACUUUAUUUUUAAUGUUUUAAAAUUUAAUUAAAAUAUCUUAAUCUUAAUAUGAAUUAAUUUCUCUAUAUUAUUGAAAAUAACAUAUUAUUAUCAUUAAUCGGUUCGGUUUGAUUAUUUUGAUUUUUUUAUCAAAACUAAACCGAACUGAAAUAACCAAAAUUUUUGUAAUUAAAAACCGAACCGAACCUAACCUAAUUGAAUAAAAAACCAAACCAAAAUUUCAAAUUAAUUCGGUUCGGUCGGUUUUUUCGAUUUGAAUCGAAUACUGCUCACCCCUACACAAGGAAGUAUGAGAAAGUCUGCCAUUUGAAAAAAUCUUUGUAUGGUUUAAAGCAUAGUCCCCAUGCAUGGUUUAACAAGUUCAUUGAAGUUCUUCAAAAUUUUGGAUUGAAAAAAAGCAAGUGUGAUCAUUCAGUCUUCUAUAGAAAUUCAGAUACUGGUAUUAUUCUCCUUGUUAUAUAUGUUGAUGAUAUUAUGAUUACAGGAAAUGAUAGUACAUGGAUCUCUUCUCUAAAAAACUACAUACAUGCGAGUUUUCAUACCAAAGAUUUUGGUCAGUUUAAGUAUUUAUUAGGAGUCGAAGUCUUGAGAAGUAAAAGGGGAGUUUUCCUAUCUCAAAGGAAGUAUGUCAUUGACUUGCUUACAGAAACUGGAAAGAUGGAAAUUAAACCAUGUAGCACACUAAUGAUUCCUAAUAUAUGUCUUACAAAGGAUGACAGAGACCCUUAUGAUGAUCAACAGAGGUACAGAGGGUUGGUUGGAAAGCUGAACUACCUUACGGUGAUGACUCGGUUAGAUAUUGCUUUUGUAGUAAGCGUUGUAAACUAGUUCAUGUCUGCACCUACGGUGAAACAUUGGGCCGCUUUAAAAUAAAUUCUAUGUUAUCUAAAAGGGACUCCUGGACUCGGUAUACUCUACAGUAAUUAUGGACAUAUUGCACUUAAGUGUUUUUCUGAUACUGACUGGGCGAGAUUCAAAAGUGAUAGAAGGUCGACUAUAGGCUACUGUGUAUUUGUUGAAAGAAAUGUAGUGUUUUGAAAAAUUAAGAAGUAAAAUAUGGUAUCCAGAUCCAAUGCCGAGUCAAAAUAUAAGGCCACGACUCAAUCCACUUGUGAGUUUCUGUGGAUAAAUCAUCUGCUGAAAGAAGUUGGUAUGAAUGUUGCGUUAUCUGCGAAACUUUGGUGUGAUAAUUAGGUUGCUCUUUACAUUGCUUUCAAUCCAGUAUACUAUGAACGGACUAAGUAUAUUGAAGUUGAUUGUCAUUUCAUCCAUAAGAAGAUUCAAGAAAAUUUAAUCUCCACCAGUUAUGUGAAGACAGAAGAGCAACUGGGUGAUCUACUCACCAAAUCUUUAAAUGGGCAUCGAAUAAAAUAUCUUUCUAAUAAAUUGAGUAUGAUAAACAUCUAUGAUCAAACUAAAGGGAGAGUAUUAGAGUGUGAACAUAAUCUAUACAUAAUCAUAGGAGAUUACAUAAUUAUAGGCUAAUUAAUUGAUAGAAGAUUCUUAAGAGUUGCUUUAACAAGUUCUUAUAAUCUGUAUAUAUACACAAUUACUUUAAUGGAGAAAUAUACAAAAAUUAUCCAAUUAUUCCUUAUCUUAUUACAAAUACAAUGAGAUGGAUCAUAAAAUCUAAAUAAAAUCCAAUAUACAAUCUACUAAAUCCACGGAAGAUUAUGAACAUCAGUUAAGUUUUGAGAACUGCUUUAUUUUAUGCUCCAAGAUCACAAUGCCAGCUUUCUUCAUCUUUAACUAAAUUCUAAUCUCUGAAACUUGAUUAAAAGCUACAUUAUUAGGACUCAGGUAUAUGUGCUGAGAAUUUGAAUGCAAUUGGUUUGAUGCCAAAAUUAUUUUCAGUAAAUUGAACUCGAUAUGAUCUAUAAUUUCAGUAAGCCUAUCUAAUUCAAGUAAGCCUUGCUUAAAAGGCUAAUGAUGUUGAGGAAUGCUAGCUGCAGUUGCUUUUUCAAGUAACAGUUAUCGCUCUCCAUCUUAUUGGUUAAAAAGUAUUUAUUAUAUUAGUUAUUAUUUUUUAUCUUUAGUUAUUCAUUAAUCAUUAUACUCUCCAAGCUGUACAUAAUCAUGCAACCUUUGCAAGUCAAGUAAUACUUCAAAGAAUACUUGACUAGGAACAAGCAAAUGCCAAGGCUUCCUGUUUGUAAAUGGGCCACAAAUUUUCUUUUAGGUUUGAAGACUUUGAUGUUGCAAAAAUUUGGUAGCCUGGUGAAUCUUUUAUCCAUAUUGAACCACAAUUUGUAACCUGGAAUUAUCCAUUUAGAGUCCCCUAAAUGCCAGUUGGUCAAAUGUCUACAUCCUUACCCAAAAAUACAGCUUAACCAAAUUAUUCCAAUCUANNNNNNNNNNNNNNNNNNNNNNNNNNNNNNNNNNNNNNNNNNNNNNNNNNNNNNNNNNNNNNNNNNNNNNNNNNNNNNNNNNNNNNNNNNNNNNNNNNNNNNNNNNNNNNNNNNNNNNNNNNNNNNNNNNNNNNNNNNNNNNNNNNNNNNNNNNNNNNNNNNNNNNNNNNNNNNNNNNNNNNNNNNNNNNNNNNNNNNNNNNNNNNNNNNNNNNNNNNNNNNNNNNNNNNNNNNNNNNNNNNNNNNNNNNNNNNNNNNNNNNNNNNNNNNNNNNNNNNNNNNNNNNNNNNNNNNNNNNNNNNNNNNNNNNNNNNNNNNNNNNNNNNNNNNNNNNNNNNNNNNNNNNNNNNNNNNNNNNNNNNNNNNNNNNNNNNNNNNNNNNNNNNNNNNNNNNNNNNNNNNNNNNNNNNNNNNNNNNNNNNNNNNNNNNNNNNNNNNNNNNNNNNNNNNNNNNNNNNNNNNNNNNNNNNNNNNNNNNNNNNNNNNNNNNNNNNNNNNNNNNNNNNNNNNNNNNNNNNNNNNNNNNNNNNNNNNNNNNNNNNNNNNNNNNNNNNNNNNNNNNNNNNNNNNNNNNNNNNNNNNNNNNNNNNNNGCAAGAACAAUGUCAGGCAAAUCAGUCAAACAAAGGACAAAAACAGAAAAGCAAAGCAUUUCACUGAAAAAAGGAAAAGCAAUAAAGCAACAUACAAAUUUUAUUGAAUAUCCGAAUGCUAUAGAAGGGGAGAUGCAGGGUCAUUUAUAUCAAACAUGCCUUAGAAGCAAAUGCAUCAAGAAGAAACAGCAAAUCCUGAGAAACUAACUCCAGCUAUUUGAGAACAUUACUAGCUCUGGAUGACGAUUUGAUGUAAUGUAAAUAUGUGGAGGAAAAAUCAUAAUCCUACAGCUAUUGCUGCUACUUUCUCUUGCCAAUGCUACUGUGGCAAACUGAAUUACCAUGCAAUGAAAUGCAAAAAUGAUAAUAAAAUAUGAAUUUCAACAAGGUAUGAAUGGCCAAGGCCUGUGUCUGCUACUCAAAGGGAGGGGUUGCUGGUGGGUGUCCGGAAGCAUUUUAAGUGCAUCAAAUAAAUUGGAAUCUCUUAAAGAUGGUGGAAGAAUAAAAUUACACCUUUUUUAGAGAUAUAUGUUGAAAAAUUCGUUUUUUUUUUUGGAAUUUUCUAUAAGAUAUUGAUGAUUACGUCCAAGUAAGAUAAUACAGAGAAAAAUCAGUAGGAUAGACCAUUUGAAGCUUUGAAGCUACAUUGCUUCGAAUGUUAUCUAAUAUCUAUGUGACUAAGGAGGUUUUUGCAUCUCAAAAAGCUAAUUUGUAUUUCAAAAUUGCUAAUGAGCCAUAAUUUGGAUUUUGUUAUCUAGAUUGCAAGUUGCCAACAACUAAAUGAAGAAUGAUUCUAAGCAAGUUAUUUUAAAAGGACAAGAUUGAUGAAGGCCAGAUUUGAAACGUGCUCUCACCUUUACAAGAGUAUUUCUUUUUACCAUUUUGAGUUCAUUCAAGUUCUCAAAUUCAAAAGCAGCAAUAAUUCAUAAUCAACAUUACGAUUCACAUCUAACUUUCUAAAUUAGGAUGAUGAAAAAGUGCCUAAAAACCGAAUUUUAAGCAAACCCAAUUAGAGAUUCAGCUGACCUAUCCCUGGCAUUUAUACAAAUGGGUUACAUGGUCAACAAUAAAGGAAAGUUGGUGCAAAUUGCAGACCUUUUCUUUGGUAGCUUCUUCCUUUUUCGAAAUAAAUUUGCUCCUUCGGCGAAAUGGCUGGGGUGGCUCCAAUGUCAUUCCCAAAUUGUUGCUUCCCUCAAACUGCGGUGUAACAAUUAACAAGAGAAGACAAACCAGUACCCAAGGUCUCGACAUCAUUAAAUGCAGCCUUUUUCACAUAAUCUGCUCUAAACCCAGAAACGGAAAAGAAAAAGAAAAAGAAAAGGAAAAAAAAAACAAAAGAAAUGAGCGAGCAUCAGCUUCGCUUAUAGGUUCAGUAAUCAGGGAAGUCAUAGCUCAGACCACAGACCUCAUCUGUCGGGGUCGGUUGUCGUUUGACUCAGUUUGGGUGUCAUUCUGAAGGAACUGCCGAUCGAUACCAUGCGAUCUCUCCUCUAUUAUUUACGUGUAUAAUUUUUAUCAUGAAUAAUAUUAUAACUAUUUUAAUUAUUAUUUAUGGUAUUUUUAAUUUAUAUAUUAUAUAUUGUAAUUUUAAUUAUUAAUUAGUGUAAAAAUUAUAAUUUUAUAAAAUUAUAAUUAAUAAAUUAUAAAAAAAUAAUAUGAUUUAAAUAAAAUUCUCAAAAUUUCAUAUUACUCGCUAAAAAAUCGAAAUUGAUCUACCAAAAGAAGGAACACAAAGUACUUGGGCCAUAGUUAAUCAUAAAUUGCAAAUUACCAAAAUGUUUCUAACAUGCUAGAACAAAACCAAAAUCUCCGUAGCUGAUCAAAAUAGUAUAAAAACGAAAUACAAACAAGACUUCUAAAUUUAAAACCUCCCCCCUGGUCUACCACCGGCACCACCUCUACCAAACACAAAUUGGGUCACAGGCACAGCAACCGGGUCGACCUGAACAAUCCCAGGAAUAUCACCCAUACCUAGAGCAGCCAGCAUAUCAAUAGUCUCCUUAUCGACCUCAAUCUGGUCAAUUUUGAUGGCGGAAACCUCAGGAACAAAGUCCAUGCGGCGCUCGCGCUCUUCCUCCUGAAGCUUGAGUGAGAUCCCGCGAACUGGACCCUUCUGGAUUCGCUUCAUGAGAUGGGUAGAAAACCCGGCAAUCUUGUUGCGGAGGCGCUUGGAAGGGAUGAUAGCGACCUCUUCAAGAAUUUUCUUGUUAGUGUGGAAGUCGAGGGUCAUGCGAGAGUAGUAGCGCUCGAUCACUUGGCGUGAGGACUUCUUCACAGUCUUGGUACGAACUCGACCCAUUUUCUUCGGAGGUUAAUUGGCACAGGAGAGACUGUGUGGGGGAUUGGGUGUGUGCUUGUGUGCAACAGACGCAGGGAGGGAGAGAUGUUAGGGUUAGGGUUUUGUCAGCAUAUAAACUCAGCAGCAGAACAAGGAAUUGUUUACAAUGGGCUUUUCUAGGGUUCAGCCAUGGCGGGCCAAUUCGGCCCAGUUAGGUAAAGUCAUGUAUGAAAUUUUUUCUGGCGUAUAAAAUUUUCAACAAUUAUUUUCUAUAUUUGAUAUUAAUAUCAUUAUUUGAUACAUUUUAAGAAUUUAAAGGUGUUAUUUAAUUUUUUUUAGAAUUUAAAAUUUUUUUAUAUUUUUUAAAAGCAUGUUUAAUCUAUUAUUAAAAUUUAAAGGUUUUUGUUAAUUAAUUUUAAUAGUUAAAGGACGAAAAAAAAAAAGUGAUCAGAUUAUCAAGCUAUAAUUUAAAGGGCUAAAAUAUUUUUUUAGUUUAGUAACACUUGAGGUUCAAACUCAUAAUCUAAUAAAAAUAAUACUAGAUUCUAUUUGUAAAAAUAUUUAUUAAAAAAUAAAAGCUAUCAAUAAAUUUAUAUAUAGUAGUGUAAUCCACUAAUUAAUCUUCAGAUUUUAUUUUUAAAAAAUUAUUUUCAUUAAAAAUAAAUUACUUUUUUCAUUGACCAAUUGGUUGAAAGCUAUUUUAACAUUUAAAUUCUAUAUAAUUAAAUUUUACUAUAAUUUAAAACAAAAAUUUCGCUAAAUAAUUAACUAAAUUUAAAAAUUUAUAUUUUAAAAAAUUAUAAAUUAAUAGUAUUUUUAGUAACAAAUAUUAAAAUUCAUUGUAAUAAUAAAGUUAAUAUUUAUACUUGUAAAAAAGAAUGGAAAAAAUUAUAAAAAUUAUAUUUUAAAAUAUCUUCAUGGUUUAUGUUCCAAGUUCUCACUCAAACAGCAUCACCGUUCAAUGCUAUGAAUCAUAUAUAUUCACCCAUAAAAUAAUGAAAAAGACUAAAACCUAAAGCAACAUGCAUGCAUGGAGAGUGGAUCCCAUGAAGGGUAUCAUUUUGGUUUUCAUUACCUUCAAACAAUUAAUGAGCGUGUAGCGGCCAAUGUAGAGAUUUAAGUUGGAAAUAGGGUCAGCGGGUUCAAAUGGAAAAAAAUUGAUCGAAUUCUAUUCAUUUAAAAAUUUAGUUUUUUUUUUCAUUUUAUUUGAUUCAAUUCUUAAUUUUAAAAUUUUUUAUUAUGUCAAUUCGAUUCGAUUUUAAUAAAAAGAAAUAAGAAAAAUUAAAUUAAAUUGAUUAGUAAUAAUAGUAUAUUAUUUUUAAUAAUAUAAAAAAAAUGAGAUCAUAUUAAAAUUAAAAUAUUUUAAUUAAAUUUUAAAAUAUUAGAACUAAAGUGUAAAAAGUAAAAAAUUUAUUAAAAAUUUAAAUUGAUCAAAUCGAACCGAAUUAGAUUGAUUCGGUUUGAUUUAAUUUUAAUCAAAAUCAAUUUAAUUUGAUUUUUAUAAAUACUUAAAUUUUAAUUUUUAAUUUAUUCAGUUUACUAAUCGAAUGCUGAGCCUAGUUGGAAAUGAUUAAUUUUAUUUUUGAUUUUAAUUUCAUUUAAUUUAAAAAACUUUUAUUAACAAGCACAAAGUUUUUUUUAUCUAUUAAAUAUUGCAAGUUUCAAUAAUAAUUUAAUUCUUUUUAUAUACAUAUUAAUUAAUCUAUUAUACCAUUUAUUUUUUUUAUAUAAUUACCUUUUAUAUAUAAAUAAAAAAUUAUAGAUAUAAAAUUGAGAUUAAACCGCUUAAAUUAAAUUAAAUCAGUACAUCAAUUACAACCAUCUGAUCAAAUUACCGUUCAAUCAGAUGGGACUGUCUAGCUAAACAAGACUGAUUAAUCAGAUAAAAUUUAUCUCAAAUCAAUUAAUUAAAUCAAAUUAUCUGCUCGACCUAAAUUAAUCAAUUAGAUCGAACCAAUCAAUUAAAUCAAUUUAUCCAAAAUUAAAAUUUAAUCCAAUUUAAUUUAUAAUAAAAUUACAAGAAAUCAUAAUAUAUUAUAUGUAAACUAAAUUGAUUCUAUACAUUUCAGUAUUACUCAUAUACAUUAUAUGUGAAAUUUAAUUUAUGACUUAUUUUUUUUAUGUCACAUUCAUAAAUUAAAUUAUAUGAUAUAUAUACUGUAUAAUAUGGAUGAUUUAUAAUCACAUGAAAUGUAAUCAUAAUAUGGAUAAUUUAGUUGAUACAGUAUAAAUUGAUUUUAAUUCAAAUUCACUUAUAAUAUUAAUUGAUUUUAUUUAUAUAUAUUAAAUAUUUUAUAUUAUAUUUAAUUAUUUAUUAUAUUUUAAAAAUGAUAUAUAUUCACAUGUUUAAUUUGGUUGUAAAUGCAUUUAAAUAAAUAUGAGAGAUAUCAUAUUUUAUUUUUUCAAUCUUCUGUCUCAUUUUAAAAGAAAAUAAUAUAUAAUUUAUUAUUAGUCUCUGAAAAAUGAUAUAUAACCGUAUAUAUUUAUUAUUAAAUACGUUUAUUAUUAAAUACGUAGUAACACUACAUUUAAUUAAUUUAUUGCAAGAAAGAAAUACGAGACUCCACUAAAAUCCAAGAUUAUCACCUUAGGGAAACAAGCUUUUCAUUGCCAUACCGAACGAGGGAUUGACAAGACUAAAACCUCCAUCAACCACUAAGUUGAUCCCAUCAUCACUUCCCAAAUACACUGCUGCCUCUGCUAUAUCUUCCUCUUCCAAUACAGCCUCUUUCAAGUUAGCUGAAGCCGAAAUCGCUUCCUGGAUCUUCUUCUUAUCCACUUCCAUGACCCUCAUAACUUUUCUUAGCGUUGGGGUUACAACUACAAAUGGGGAGAUACAAUUAACCCUAAUCCCAUAUUGCCCCAACUCCACGCACAGGUUCUUGGCUAAACCAAGCAAUGCAUAUUUUGAUGCCACAUAUGAAUGAUCACCACCCAAAUUUAUGACUGAAGCCACACUUGAAUUAAAGAGAAUACAGCCUUUCUUGGAAGGAAUCAUGACCCUGGCUGCAUGUUUGGCUGCCAAGAAAGCUCCAAACACAUUGACAUCAAAACCCCUUUUGAAAUCUUCAUUUUCUGCCACUAAAAUAUUGGGAAGAGUGGGAUCUAAAUCUACGAUGUCGCAAGUUCCCGCAUUACUUAACAUUAUAUCAAGACUUCCGAACUUGGAGACAGCAAAGUCUACAGCAUUUUGGGUAUCAGAAUCGCAAGUUACAUCGCAAUGGACGUAAGAGAUAGUUUCUUCUGAGCCAAUUUCUUUGCAAACAGAGAGGCCAAGCUCAUCUUGGACAUCGGCAAUGACGACCUUAGCUCCUUGUUUAACAAAAACCAUUGCACUGCACUUGCCUAUUCCACUGGCUCCACCGGUUAUCAUGGCUACCUUACCUUGAAGCCUGCAAGUAAUUCAAGCAAAAUAUAACAAAUAUAUGUAUAUAUUUUUUUAAAAAAAAGAAGAAUAUGAUCAACUAAUAGAGAACAACUAAAAUUGAAGUGUUUUAGUUACCUCUUGGUGGUUGAAGUUGCAGCGGAAAUAUUUGUGCUCAUCAUCUUGUUUUCCCUAAAUUGCAGAGAAGCCAAAUACUUUCCAGAUUUAUUUCUCCUAGAAAUUUAAGCUUUGGGACCUCACUUGACAAUUUCUGCAUUAAGGUAUGCUACUUAUAAUUGCGGUGAGGGCUCUAGCCUUUUUUUAUUUACAAAAAAAUAAUUUAAGAUAUAAUUUGAAAAUUUAAAAAUUCGGAAUUUAAUUGAUAAAUUUUUAAAAUUUAGAAGGUAAUUAUAAUUAUUUUUAAAAUUUAAUAUUUUUUAUUAUUUUUUUAAAAUUAAAAAAUAAUUUAUAUUAUUAUUAUUAUAUAUUUUUUAAUGUUAUUAAUAGUUUAAAUAUAUCAAUUUAUUUUAAUUCAAUUCGAAUUAAUUUAUUUUUAAAUAUUUUUAAAUCCAUCCUAAUUAUUAUUUUAAUUUAAAAAAUACGCAAUUAAUAAUAUAAUUGAAAGUAAAAAAACAUAAUUAAAAAAAAAAGCAUGUUGAAAGAAAAAUAAUUGUAACUAUUUUAUUAUUUUUAUAAUGUUGUUCGUUAUAACUAUUUAAUUGCAAUGUUGAAUAUGCCUAACUCAAAUGAUAUAAUUUAAGUUUAAUUGGAAUUGGUGAUUGUCUUUGUAAAAGCACCAAUUACUAAAAAAUAAUGAAAAAGACUAAAGCCUAAAGCAAGUUGCAUGCACGGAGAGAUAGGAUCCCAUCAAGGGUGUCAUUUUGGUAUCCACUGCCAUCAAACAAUCAAUGAACAUGAGUUGGAUUUGCUAUAGAAAAUAAUAUGCCCAAAACUACUAUUACCUUAAACGCAAAGGAAUUCUUAUAUGGAUGCACUUGAUUCUAUUAAAAAUUAUAAUAGAAUUUAUAUUUAAAUUUAAAAUUAAUUAUAUUUUAUUAGUAGUUACAUAAAUAAAUAAGAUAACAUCAUAAUAAAUUUCAUAUUUAAAUUUAAUUAAUUACAUUUUAUUAAUUGGCACACAUAUAUUGAAUGUGUAUAUGAGAUUUCCUUAAACCAAAAAGGCAAAAUUAAUGUUCAUAACAUUCAUUUUAUAUAUAUAUAUAUAUAUAUAUAUAUAAAUUAUAUUAAAGAACAUAUAUAAAUAAGAAAGUUAGAGUUACCCACAUGUCUCAACUCAAUAAUGAAUAAAUUAUAUUAAUAAUAAUAAUAAUUGAUAUCUCACAUUUAACAAUGGGUCAGGCGUUGGUUUAUUUAUUUCUCUCGCUUUCUCUUUAUUUUUCUUUUUCUUUUUAUCUUUUACUAACGUAUAACCAUUGUACUACGCUUCCUAUCAUAUUCAUGUUAGGAAGUGUCCUUGUCCUACGCUUUCUAUCAUAUUCAUGUUAGGAAGCGUAUGGAGGUAUUGCACCAUUCUCUUUCAUUAGACGAUUAUUUAAUUCUAUUCGGCACCAUAUGAAUACGAUUUCGUACGUUAUGAGGUUUGUUAUUUCACAUAGGCUAACAGAUAUUUAAGGCUAGAGCCCUCACGGACAGAUUUUCACAUAGCCCGUAUAGUUUAGAUAGACCCCGGGCUUACAUAAGACAUAGAGCUGCGUCUUGGGCCCUAAUUGAAUUUAUAUUCAAUCUUUCUAGUAUAGGCAUUACCAAGGCCCGAACAUUUGGAGUCUGAUUUUCAUUGAGUGCCUCUUUACCCACUCAUUAAUUAUUCCAUAAUUUAUGAGGAGGUAAACUUCGAGAUCCCAAUUAUUACUGCGUGACUCUAGGGGAGUUCUAUCAAAACGUCAUUUCUUUACCUUUUUCCAUUUCAAACUUGUGCUCUUACUUUCGCUCAUUGCUCUGUAUUUUUUGCUGCUUCUGCUAUCUUGCUCUUUCUCUUCUUUGUAAUUCUCAAAUUUUCAAUCCGAGGUACGUCUCGCUCCUCUCAUGGCUUUUAUUAAGAUUCCUAAAGUAGUUGGUCUGGUGUCUUCUGUCACUCCUUCUUUCUCUCACUAUUUUCCUGCGAUUUCUCUAAUACCACCAUCUUCUCUUACCUAAUAAAUAAAUAGUUCUCCCUAACCCACCGUCGAAAGGCCUGGUAAAUGCUCAGCAAGGGCAUAACUUAGUCUUUUUCGUAAAGCAACACGAGUUCGGUCUUACUUUUCCGUUUACCCCCUUCUUAAUCGAGAUCUUCCAUCACUUUGAAGUGACUCCUGAAUGUUAUCUCCUAACUCCAUCUUGUUUAUAUGUUGUUUUGAGUCUAUUUGCUUAUUCUGGGGUUUUGCCCCUCCUCUCAAGUUGUUCUGCACCUUCUUCUAUUUAGUCAAAUCUAACCACGAGUUCUAUUAUUUUGGCCCUUGAGUUGGGUUGUCAAUAUUUACAGGAUACAAGAAUUCCAUAAAGGGUUGGGUAAAAUAUUUUGUUAUUACCGAGCUAAAGGAGAGUUCAGGAAUCAACUGGGACAUCGACCUCUCCUGGGGGGAUAUUCCUCAGGGUUGUAAUGACUUCCUUAAGUUAACCCUAAUUGACCAAAUUUUCCUUCUCCGAUUGACUUUUGUAAAGAAGAAAUACGAUGUCGAGAAAUGCAUAUUCAUGUCUAACUUACGAAAUUGCCAGGAAGCUGGUAUUUUUUAUUUUUUCCCCUUUAUAUUCUUCUUUUUUUAUUUUGAGCUCUAACUGAACUAAUAUUUCCUUUUCAGCUUUCGGUGUGCCAAUGGAUACCAUCAAACUUUCUAAGAACUUCACUUUGUCUAGGAAAAGUAUGAAGGAGACUUUGGCCACUUUCAAGGCCAACAAGUCUAUCACUGAUAUGAAUCGAGAGGUUUUCCAGGCUAUAGCUCCCACAUCGUCAGCUUGUCACUCUACUCCUACCCCCACACCUUUUCUGGCUUCGGUGUCAGUGUCGGGGGAUUCUCGCUCCAUAGCCUACAGGACGUUAGUUCCACUUAAGGCACCGGCCUCUUCUAAAGCUCCACCCACUUCAAAGGAGGUCCCUAAGAAACCCAUCGUGGUUAGCGAGUCAACUGACAGUGGCUCGGAGGAGGGUACUAGGUUUACCCUCUUGGAUGUCCCUCCCCUUAAAGCUAUGGGUGCCAUUACUGUUGAGGGCAGGGCUGCUAAAUGUGCCAGGACUUCAGAAACCUCAAGGGUAGCCCCUUCUUCUCCUGUUGGUAAGGGGAAAAAGGUGGUGGAGAAUUUAUCUUCUAUCCUAGACAAUGAGCUAUUGAACGCUGCCAAGGUGACUGUUGAGUCAAUGCUUGCCUCCGUGGCCGAGAUGCUAUGUGGUAGGAUGUUUGGAGGGGUCCCAGAUGCUUUCGAAUCCUACUUUCUAGCCCUUGUUAGCCAUUUGGCCUAUGCCACCAAAUAGCAUGUUGUCUUCAGCUUGCCUUCUAUAGAGGCCUUUGGGGACGGUCUGAGGGAGAUGUUCCUCAUGGUAAAUUUUUUAUGCUUCUUGAUAGCGUUUUUGAGUUUCUGAUUUUUCUAAUUUUGUUUCUUCUUUUCUAUAGCAUUCCUUUGGCAUGUUCAUGGAGAUCGAUGCUCAAAAUCGAUCUCUUUAGAGCUCCAUGGACCGACGUAUUGAGGAGGCACGCCGGGAUGAAAAUAUUAUUGCUAUGGGUGAGGCCCAUGGGCAUAUCAUUGAAUUUCAGGGGCAGAUUGAAGGCCUCACCAAGCAAUUAGGGGAGAUGAGGGAGGAGGUUUCCAAGUAUUCUCGAUGGGCUUUUGCAGCUGAGUCUCAGCAAGAUGAAGCCCUUGCACAGCUAUCUAUUUUGGAGGAGACUCGCCGUCAGUGCGAUGAGGCCUUAGCUCGUGCUACUAUCAUUCAGCAGGAUCUUAACAAGUACAUCGACGACCUAAAGGGCAUGACCUCAGCGGUAGAAGAGUCUUGACUUCAGCAAAAGCAACUCCUCCAAGAGAUUGUUGCCCUGGAGGAGAGGUGUGCUUCCUUACUGAAGGUUGUCAGGGCUGCCGAGGAUAAGGUUCAGCAGGCCUACGAAGCGCGGCUGCAGGAGUACAAGGACUCCACGGAGCUGAGGGAGAGGAUUUAGCAGGCCUGCGAAGCACAGUUGCAAGAGUACAAGGACUCGACGGAGCUGAAAGAGAAGAUUUACAAAGAGGCCUUUCGUAUGUUUGCUUCAGGCUUCAACUAGAGCCUCAAGGCUACUCGUAAUGCCCCUUUCACUUCGUUACCUGAUUUAUGAGCUCCUGAACUCGAUUGUGAUGGUGAGGAGGUCUACUAUGGAGAGGAUGAUAACCCUCUUCCUAAGAACCCCCCCUUCUUUUCUCCCUGCACAGUAGAAGGGAAAUCUUAUAAACGAUUUAGUUGGCUCUGCUUCCCUUUCCCUUGCUGCUUCUGUAACACACUCAAAUGGUGUAGGGAAGCAAUAAGUCAAUUAAUAAAUUUUUUUAGCCUCUUUGUUAUUUUCAAUCCGUUUGGUUGUUUUAUUUUUCCUAUCUAUUUGAAUUGUAUUUGUCUUCUCAUACUUAGGUUAUUUUUGCAUAUAUUGUCUGUGAACAAUGUCGGGCUGCUCGUUUGAUACUUUGCUUGUAAAAACAUCUAACUUAUUGCAUUUUGACUUCUAUUUUUUCAAUGUCUUGGUUUUUCAUGCCUCCUACCUCUCUGGACUUUUUAUAAGGCCAAGUUGUGAGUUCUUUCUCCAGGCUGAUUUAGCAUUAGGGGCUAGUUGUUUAAGGUCAACGUUCUUUGCGAUUGCCCCUAGUUUUCAUAUGGCUCCUUGUCUUGGUUCAUAGUGUUCUAAGGUUUUAUUUUUACCUUACUUGUAAUUCGAUAUUCAUGGUAUCGGGUCUAUUUCUGAGGUCAGCACCUAGCCUUAAUUUUAUUUUUGUUUGGCAUUGGGGUUACUGAGGUCCAUUUUUAAGGUCGACACAUUGCCUUGGUUUUAUUUCUAGUUGGGCAUUGGGGUGCCGAGGUCCAUUUUUGAGGUUGGCACCUUGCCUUAGUUUUAUUUCUUUUGGCUUUAUUUGGGUCUUCACUUCGUCAACUAGGCUUUGUGGUGCUGAUGGUCAUCGGGGUCUUCACUUCCUUAUCUCGGCUUUGUAGUGCUGAUGAUAUAUUUCUGAGACCGGUCACCCACCUCAUUGGGGUCUUAACUUUCUCAACUCGGCUUUAUGGUAUCUGUAGUCUAUUUUUGAGACCAGUCACCUACCUCAUUAGGAUCUUUUUCCCUCAACUCAGCUUUGUGAUGCUGGCGGUCUAUUUUUGAGACCGGUCACCUACCUCAUUGGGUCUUCUUUCCCUCAAAUUGGCUUUGUGGUGACACCGGUCUACUUUCGAGAUCGGUCACCUACCUCAUUGGGGUCUUCUUUCCCUCAACUAAGCUUUGUGGUGUCAGUGGUCUAUUUUCGAGAUCGAUCACCCACCUCAUUGGGGUCUUCUUUCCCUCAACUCAGCUUUGUGGUGCCAACGGUCUAUUUUCAAUAUUGGUCACCCACCUUAUUGGGUCUUCUUUGCUUGUCAAAAGUUUUUGAGAGUAGAAAAGAGGAUUUUACUCAUAUUUUUGAUAUAACAGCUACAUUGUACAUUUUAUUGAAAAUACAUAUUCAAAUGCUGGAUAUUCUAAGCGUGAGACUCUGGAUUCUCUUAUAGAUCUUUGAUUUUGUAUACUCCUGGUCUUAUGACUUUGGUGACCCUAAACAAUCCUUCCCAAGUUGGUGCUAGCUUUUCCACAGCAGCCCUUUUUCCCGUGGCUUCUAGUAUUCUUAGGACUAAACCUCCAACUUUCAAAUUCCUCUCACGAACUUUUUGGUUGUAGUAUCGAGCUGCUUUCCACUGAUAGGCUGUUGUUCACACUUGUGCUUCAUCUCUAAUUUCCUCUAGGGCAUCUAGGUUACUCCUCAGUUUCUCCCUAUUGAGGUCUUCAUCAUUAAAUUGAACCUGAUGUGUAGGGAUUUGCAAUUCUAUGGGGAUCACAGCUUCUGUUCCAAAUGCUAGUGUGAACAGGGUGUCUCCCGUUGGAGUUCAAGGUGUAGUCCGAAAUGCCCAUAGAAUACUAUGCAGCUCGAAUGUCCAAUUCUUCUUAGCACUGUCUAAUUGUUUCUUCAGCCCUUGCAAAAUAGCCCAAUUUGUCACCUUGGUCUAGCCAUUUGUCCGCAGAUGAGCUACUAACGAAAACUUAUGCUAGAUACCAUAUUUCUCAUAAAAUUUUUAAAGGAGCUGCAGUCGAACUAGUUUCCAUUAUUUGAGAUGAGCAUCUUGGGUAUCCCAAACCGACAAAUGAUAUUGCCCCACACAAAAUUUAUCACUUUUCGAGCUGUGAUGGUGGGAACGGCCUUUACCUCGGGCCACUUGGAGAAAUAUUUUACGACUAUUAUUAAAAACUUCUUUUGCCCCACAGUCUUAAGGAAAGGACCCAAGAUACUAUUCCUCAUUGCGAGAACGUCCAUGGACUUGAUAUGCUUGACUAUAGUGCGGCUGACAUGUUGAUUGCAUUGGUAAACCUUUGACAGACAUCACACUUCUUCACAAAUUCUCCAGCUUCUUUUUUUGUUGUUGGCUAGUAAUAUCCUUGCCAAAAAAUCUUAUUUGCCAAUGUGGUUGCUCUUUCAUGAACUCCGCAGACCCCUUGGUGUACUUCCUGAAUUAUCCUAAAUGCCUCUUUCGGCUUUACACACCUUAGCCACGGGCUAGAUUUUCUUCUCCGAUACAGAGUUCCUCUCAGUGUCUGAUAGUUGGCGGCUCUAGCCGCGAUUUUUCAACCCUCUGCUUUAUUUUCUGGCAAUUUUUUGAUUUUGAGAUACUCAAGGUAUGGGGUCAUCGAGCUUCGUUCUUCAUCAACUUGCAUAAUUGAGGCUGGCUUUUUAAAAGUAGGAACGUUGAUUUGCUAUACAUACACCUCGUCUAGGAGUUGCUCUAGCUCUUCUACUGAUAGUUUGCUAAGCAGAUUUACUUCUUCAUUUUCCUUCUAAGGUAUUCAUCUGUAUUCAACUAUAAUCCCUUGCUCACCGAGCUCGGCUUCUAGGGCUCAUACUUUAGCUAAGUACUUUUGCAUAAUUGGGUCCUUCGCUUGGUAUGCCCCUGUUAUUUGGUUCACCACCAGUUGUGAAUUGUUGUUUAUUCUGAGCUCAGUUUCCCCCACUUCUAAGGCUAUUUACAUCCCAUUUAUAAGAGCUUUGUACUUGGUCAUGUUAUUAGACGCUGGAAACCCAAAGCGCAAGGCAUAAAAUACUUUGAAUUCAUCAGGUCCUUUCAGAAGGAUUCUUGCCCCAUUACCUGUAGAACUUGAUGCCCCAUCUACAAAUAGAUUCUAUAUGAAUUCAUGCAUGAGUCUUCUCUCUGCCCUUUUUUCCUCUGAUCCCGGUAAGGCGUUACUUUGUUCUUUCUCGACCAUGCUGAAGGAGCAUUCAACUAUGAAUUUGGCCAAUGCUUGCGCUUUAAUUGCUGUUCGAGAUCGGUAGGUGAGGCAGUACAUACUGAUCUCUAUCGACCAUGCUAACAUCCACCCUGAAGUUUCAAGCCUAUGUAAGAGCUUUUUCAAAGGCUGAUCAAUAAUCACAACUCCUUGAUGAUCUUCCAAAUACAUUCUGAAUUUCCUUACUACUAACAACAAAGCGAAUGCCAACUUCUCUAUGUUCAUAUGCCUGACCUCGGCAUCCUUAAGUACCUUGCUGACAUAGAAGACUGGCUUCUGGAUCCUUACUUAUUCCCUUACCAGCAUGACACUCACUGCCUGUUAUGAUGCAGCUAAGUAAAUUAAUAGCUCUUCCCCUGUCAAGGGACUGCUAAGCACAUGUGGGGAGUUGAGAUAUUCCUUAAGGCUCUUGAAGGCUUCUUGACAAUCCUAUGACCAUUCAAAAUUUGGGACUUUCCUUAACUUCUUGAAAAAGGGUAGGCAUCUCUCUGCAGACCUGGACAUGAACCUUUUAAGUGCUACUACUCUUCCCGUGAGCCUUUGUACAUCUCUUACGCAAUUCGACUCAGGCAUGUUCAAUAUGGCUUCUACCUUUGCCAGGUUUAGCUCUAUGACCUUUUCAUCAACUCUGACAGGGUAGUGGGGAGCUUUCUGCACAGCUCCAAAAAAUUCUGGGGAGGUUGUGCCCUUCUUGUGGCUUCUACUGCUCUCCCUUCAUCCAACUUAAGUAUGUGCAAAGUUUCAGAGUUGAAACUAGCAACAUACUCUCUCAGGGAUUCAUUCCUCCUUUGUCGGACUGUCUCUAAAUAGCUCAUCUUUCUCUCCACAGGAACCUCGACAAUAAAUUUGCUGAUAAGUACGUUGGCUAGGUCUAUGAAGUUCCUAAUGCUCCCCGACUCCAGGCUGUUGAACCAUACCUGGGCUGAUCCUAUCAAGGUGGUUGGAAAGACCUUACACAUCAUGGCAUCCGAGUGAGUCUGCAACUCCAUGAACGUCUUAUGGUUCAAGUUGUGCUCUCGGGGAUUUUCCGUCCCGUCAUACGCUGCCAAAGUUGGCAACAUGAACUUCUUUGGUAUUGUUUCUUACUGACUCCAGUUUACAAACGGUGAUAAGAUUGGCAACAUGGGACUGUUGUUAUCUCGUGCCCCCAACUCUGUUAAUAGUUGUUCUUUCAAUCUCUCUAACUUCUGGUCUAUGUUAGCGUCUUCACUUGUAGGCCUCUUCUUCAGGCGAUAGUUUCUUUCUAACUCUUCACUCUCCGACCUUUCUGUAGACUUGAAAGAGUAGGUUUUGGCCCCAUCAUUCUCAAUGAGUUCCCUCGCUAUCCUUCCUUUCACUCGGGCUGCUAACUCAUUUCUCCGACUUGCUUCCCCAUCUCCAUCUUCUAUCCUCUUGCUGCUUUGCUUGGGGAUUUGAUAGUUCAGUGUGGGUUGGGACUCAUUGAGAUUGAGUCCUUCGACUAUGGGUGGUCUGCUCAAUGGGGUACUGAGCCUUCUCUGCUGUAACAUUUGGCCGAGCCAAUAGGCAGUGCUUUGUAAUUGGAGAGCCAUGCUAUGAAGUUCUUAGUUAGAUAGGGAGUUUCGGGGCAUAGUCUCGGUUGAGCUUUGUGAAGGGUUAAGCAAAAUGGAUAGCUGAUUUACUGGGGCUAUUGGGCUAGAGAAUUAAAACUGUGGACCUUCUUGAGUCGAGCUCGGGUCAUUUAGGGGAUUCCUGUAUAGUUCUCAUUGUGAUUGGUCAUGUGGAUUUCAGUUUGUGAAUGAGAAUGAGAACUCCGGUGAUGAUAAAAUCACCUUCGUCCCCACAGACGAUGCCAAUUAAUAUAUCAGAUCCAAUAAUGGGUCAAGCUCAGAGUAUAUUUUGGUACGCUUAAUUUAUUUAUUUCUCUGGCUUCCUCUUUAUUUUCCUUUAUGUUUUUGUCUUUUUUCUGACGUAUAAUCGUCGUUCUGCGGUUGCACCUUCCUAUUAUAUUCACGCUGAUCAUACAUACAAAGAUACUGCAUCAUUCUCUUUCGUCAAACAGUCAUUUAAUUUCAUUCAGUGUCAUAUAGACACGAUCUUGUGCGUUACAGGGUUUAUUAUUUCAUGUAAACUAAUAGAUAUUUGGGGCUAGAACCCUCACAAGCAGAUUUCCGUCCAGACCAGCUCGUCUGAAUAGAUUUCAGGUUUACAUAAGACAUAGAGCUGCGCCUUUAGACCUAAUUGAACUUAGAUCCAGUUUUUCUAGCAUAAGUUUUACUGAGGUCCGAACAUCUUGAACGGUUGUUAUCAAUAAUAAUAAUAAUAAUAAUAAUAAUAAUAAUAAUAAUAAUAAUAAUAAUAAUAAUAAUAAUAAUAAUUUUAUAUAUUGUGCAUCCACCAUCAACGUGGUUAGAUAUUGAUGAUGGGGACUGCACAAUUCAUACAGAUAGAGAACUAAACCUAAACCACCGUUUGUUUGAUAGUAUAUAUAUUUAAAUUAUUAUAAAAAUUAAUAAAUAAAAAAUAUUUUUCAAAUUAAAAAAAUAAAUUAUUUUAAAUAAAAUUAUUUUUUUUCUUUUGAAAAAGGAGAAAAUUAUUUUUUAAAUUUUAAUAAUAUUAUAAAUUAUUAUAUAUAAUUUGUAGUAUCUUUUAUUUUUAAACUAUAAUUAAAAAAUGAAAAUAAAUUAAUUUUAUAAAAAAUAUAUUUCAUGAAAAAUAUUGUUUUAUAUACAGAUUAUUUUUGGAAAGUAUACAAACGGUCAUUUCAAGUAAAAUAUGUUUUCACUAUGACCAUUAUAGAAAAUUUGAUUUAAUUAAGUGAAGCAAUUUUCCAGGCUUUGCCUAGCAUUCAAGUGCAUUUAUGUUUAUAGGUUCACCGUUCAAAAACCUCAAUUAAAAGAGUGACAAAAAUUAUUUAAAAAAAUUUAAAAUAUAAAAAUUUGUAACAUUAAUAUUUUUUUUAAAUAAAUUUAAAAUAUAAAAAUUUGUAACACUAAUAUUUUUUUUUAAAUGGAGAUUGGAAGAGUAAAAUUUAAAAUCUCUCAGAUUUACUUAAAUACACUUAUCACUAUAUUAAACUUGUGAAUUAUGGUCCAUUUGUAUUACUAACAUAUACUUUUCAAUUUGUGAACGUAAUAAAGUUUAGCAAAUUAGAAAAAUUAGUUUAUGAUUUAUGAAUGGAUUGAUAAUAAAAAAUCAAUUUGUAAAAUUAUUUUAAUACAAACAGAUACCCUUUUCAAUUUAUAAAUAGGUGUCUAAAAAAAUUAUUUAGACUAUGAAUUCUUUUGAGUUGAACAUGAAAUUUAAUCCAUAUGUGAUACAUAACCGUUUAUAAUUAAUACAAUAAAAUCUUGUAGUGGUAUUUUUGGCCUCGUAAAACCUUCCUGUCGGGAGAAUUAAAAAAUAAAAAAAUAAAUUAACGUGACUGCUUCCUAUAAACAUAUGGAUUUUGCAACUUAGAAAUUAAUUGCUUUUCCCGCUAGGCUUUUAAAUUAUUUUGAUUAUAUAAAAAGUAAAUUUUAAAUCGUAUAACCUAUAAAAUAUCUGGAUUCGUUAUUACGGUUGGAUCAUAUUUUAAGUUAAUAAAAAAAAUCAAUUUUGAUAAAAAUUAACAGACUAAACACAACGUGAUACGAUAAGAGAAUAUAGAUAAAAUGCUAAUAUGAUGGUCGAUCUCCUUUAACCCUCUCUAAAAUUUUAAAUACAAGUGUUAUACAUCUGGCGUCAUAAAUCUUAAAUACAAGUGUUAUAUAUCUGACUAAUAUGAUGCGAAUGAAAUAACAGGAUAUGGGCUAACCAGCUCUGAAUUUAUUAGCUGACUGUUCAUCAUUAAUAAGCUGCUUGACAUACUUGUUAUUGAAUGUGACCAUCCAAUCUGACGAACGUAAUAGCUGCUUGACAUACUUGCUGUUGAAUGUGACCAUCUAAUCUGAUGAACGUAAAGUCAAACAAUGGCAGGAUAAUCAAGAUAUAUAUAUUCCUGAACCGAUCAUGAUAUCACUUAACUUCUCUUAAAUACUUUCCACUGGGACUCAUUCUUAAAUCUUAAUCUACUUGAAUUUAUCCACGUGUUGCCCAAUUGGGUAUGCUGAAUCUCAAAUCAUCGAAAAUUAUUUUAGGAUUUCAUUAAUUUUUUAUUUUUUGUUGAUGAAAUUUUAUAUUUAUUUCAUAUUAAUCCAAUAUUUUAUAUAAAGUUCUAAUAAAAUUUUUGUUUAUAUAAUGUAGUUUCAUAUAUGAUGAUCGCCGGGUUUCGCGCGUCCAGAUAGAAGGUUAGGCUCGCGAAGACUGUUUCGGUCCAAAACCCAAGAAACUUUCUUGUCGGGCCGGUCCGACUUCCUCAGCCCAGACAUAGUCUCAAAAAGCAGACCGAGUCACUCACAAGCUCAGGUUCACCAACCACGAGUUUAGCCCAAUGACGUGACAUAAGGAAGGACAGCAGCCAUAACUGCAUCCGUGCCGGAAGGAAUUAAAUGGCCGCCUGGAGUGGAGAGGACUUCUGACGCCAUUCGUACGUACGGACCUGUUCAACAGAGACAUGUGACACUGUAGACAAAGAAAAAAAUAAUAAAAGGAGAGGAAUACAUUUCUCUCCACUCAAGCUUACACAAUCAUUGUAAACCUUAUUUUCUAGAUGGAUUUCAGAAUAUGUGUAUAUACGUAGGAUUAAAGAAUUAAUAAUUUUAAAUCUAUAUAAACUCUAAUUUUAAAAAUUUAAAAUAUAUAUAAAUUCUAAAAUUAAUUUAAAUAAUAAAAAUAUAAGUAUAAAUAUUUAAAGAAUUAAGGAUAUGUUUGGUAAUGUAAUCAUAUUCUCACCUUCUCACUUAGCUUAUUCAUAUUAUCAAUCAUGUAUCUUCAUUAAUUAUUUGUUGGUGAUAAAUAUUUGAAAAUACUAAUAUUUUUAAACUCAAUUUGGUUAAUGAAUCAGGUAGAAGAGAGAGCUAAGAGUUUUAAGAUUCCAUCCUAAUUGAAUCGAAGUAUAAUUGAUAUAUUAUUAAAUAAAUAAUAAAAAUUAUUAUAAUUAAUAUUUAAGGGUUAAGAGGUUUAAAAUUUCACCAUAAUUGAAUCGAAAUUUAAUUGAUAUAUUAUUAAAUAAAUAAUAAAAAAAUAUUAUAAUUAAUAUUUAAGAGUUAAGAGUUUUAAAAUUUCACCGUAAUUAAAUCGAAAUUUAAUUGAUAUAUUAUUAAAUAAAUAAUAAAAAUUAUUAUAAUUGAUAUUUAUAUAUAUUCCUAUCAAUAAUUAUAAAAAAGUUUUUACUUUGUAUUUUAAGAUCUAAAUAUUUUUAGUAAAAUUUUCAAUUAUAUGUAAAAGAGAAAAACUUUAAAUUAAAAUUUUAUAAUAAUAAAAUAAAAAUAAAUCUUGUUAUAUUUAUAUGACAAAAAAACAUAAAAAUUUAUAUAUUUUUUUACUCUUAAGAAAUAAAUUAAAUUAUUAAUAAUAUCAAGUAUUUAAAUUAUAUAUAUAUUAUCAUGUUAUAGGUUAGUAGUGUAUAGUUAUUUUACAUUAAUGUAAUUUAAUAUAUAUAUUAAGGGGUAAGAAAACAUAGCGGGUUCAAAUAGUUCAGGUGAAUUAUUUAAAAUUUAAAGAAAAUAUAUUAAUUAAUUUAAAAAUUAUUAAAUAAUUUAAAUUAAGUAGAAAAUAAAUUUAAAUAUUAUUUCUCGUCAUAAAUAUAUUUCUUAGCUUGACAUGCAAAGGGCUUUUUGUAUCAAUCUUCUCGUCCAUCUUCGAUCGAUGAUUGUCGGUGCUAGUGGGCACAGCGAAACCUUCUUCGCUUUGUGGUAGUUUUGGGCUUCAGAGCUAGUUGGCUGGACUCUUAUUGUUUUUCUGUAAUUUGCCUUCUUGUGGCCUAUUGUGUGUGUUGAGCUUGUAUCCUUUGAACUUUAAUGCAAAAUUUUCUUUGUAGGUAAGGAAACAAAAAAUACAAUGAGCCGCAUCAUCACAAUUUAACUUUAUUAGUGAAAAGUCUCAUUUUGAUAAAAAAAGAAAUGCAUGAAUCUUUUCAAAGUUGCAAAUAUUGACAAACUAAUAACUCCGAAACGACUUUAUUUAUAAGGCAAAGCUCUGUCCUUUUGUAUAAUUCAAAUUAUUCCCGAGAUAUGCCCUGUCCACUAAAUAGUAAAUAAAGAUAAGGUCAAUGAUUAGGGUUGAUCUUCAGAGUUUGAUAUAAUUAGGGGUGAGCAUUCGGUCGGUUAAUCGAACCGAACCGAAUAAAUCGAAAAUUGAAAUUUUAAUUUUUAUAAAAAUCGAACCGAAUCGAUUUUAGUCAGAAAUCGAACCGAAUCUAAUCGGUCUGAUUCGAUUCGAUUCGGUUCGGUUUGAUCGGUUUUGAUUUUUAAAAAUUUUUUAAUUUUUUAUACUUUAUUUUUAAUAUUUUAAAAUUUAAUUAAAAUAUUUUAAUCUUAAUAUGAUUUAAUUUCUCUAUAUUAUUAAAAAAACAUAUUAUUAUCACUAAUCGGUUCGGUUCGAUUUUUUUCUGAUCAAAAUCGAACCGAAUCAAAAUAACUGAAAUUUCUGAAAUUAAAAACCGAACCGAACCGAAAUGUAUAAAAAAUCAAAUUAAAUUUUCAAAUUGAUUCGGUUCGAUCGAUUUUUUCAAUUUGAACCGAAUACUGCUCACCCCUAAAUAUAAUUUACAGUUUUAUUUUUAUUUUUUAAAUUAAAAUGAAAUCGGUUGUUAUAUUUAAUUUCUUUUCAACUCAAAUAAAUUUUUAUUAUAAUUUAAUCGAAUGAUAUUUAUAUUAACCGAAAUCAACGUAUUUUUCAUUACAUGCAAUUUAAAACAUGAAGAGUUAAGUGAAAAUUUUUAAAAAUAUCACUUUAAAACAAAAUACAAAAAAAUUCAAAAAUUCUAACACGCUUAAGUUAAUAGAAGAAUGCAUCAUUAAAUUAGAUCGUUUUCUAAUUCAAAAUAAAAGUCUAGUCAGUUACGUUGAAUUAAUUUGGAUACUUUAUUCAAUUUCUAUAAUAUUUUAUUGGUUAACAAACAAAUAAUCAUUUUAUAUUUAAUUUUAAAUUCUAAUCUUAAUUUUAUCUGUGCUUCCUUAAUGGCUUGAUUUAGAUAUAAUAUUAAUUAGAUUUUUUUUAUUUCUAUUAUUAUAAAAAUUGUACUAUUUCAAUUUAAUUUUUUUUAUUUUUUAUUUUAUAAAAAUUAAAAUUAGCCAUAUUUUUACACCUACAAUAUAUUUUAUAGAAAUAUUAUUUUAUUGUUCUGUAAUUAUUUUAGAUGCAAUAAUUUUUUUAUUUUUGUAAAAUUAAAAUUAGCCACAUUUAUAAAAAAAUUUAAAAUAAUAUAAAAAAAUUAUUAUUUUUUAAUUUUUAAAAAUUAAAAUUAGUCACGUUACUUAAAAAGUUAUAAUAAUAUGCAAGAAUUAUUUUAAUUUUUUAGUUUGUGUAAAAUUAAAAUAAGCCACAUCGUAUUUUUUUUAUUUUUUAAUUUUAGUAAAAUUAAAAUUAAUCAUAUUUAUAUUUAUGAAAAAAUAAAAAUAAUAUUCACAAAUUAUUUAAAAAAUUUUAUUUCAUUUUUUUAAUUUCUAAAAAAUUAAAACUAAAGUUAUAAUUUUUAUUUUAAUAGUAUAUCAUUUAUAAAAUUAAUUAGAUAUUUUUUCUUUAUUAUUUGAAAUGUAAUAUUUAAAUUUAAUUAUUUAAUUUAAUUUUUAUAAUAAUUUUUAAUUUAUAUUUUUCAAUUGUGUUUUUAUUAUUUUAAUAAAUGUAACGUUUAAACUUGAAUGAAUAAUUUUUCAUUAUAUAAUUAAUAUGAUAUUAAUUAGAUAAAUUUUAUUUUAAUAGUUCUAGAAUACGAUAUUAUUAAAUGGUUUGAAUGAUUAACUAAUAAAGAGAUAUAUUGAAUUGGAUUGGAUUAUGGUUAUACAUUCAAAUAAAUAGUUUUAAGACGACGAAGAUGGUUUAGAUUUAAAUUGGAUCCAAACUAACCAUUCAACACCUCUAAAUUUGACCAAACUCAAACCGAUUAUCAUUGAUGAACAUGUGCAAUAAUUUUAGUGUCAAACUCAAAAUGAACAUUAGUAAUAUAAUUAUUUUAGAGCCAAAGUAGAGACUCUCACAAAGCUAAGACUUCAAUUAAAUUAAUGGAAAAAAUAGACUCGUAAAACUUAAUUAGACCUAUAAGAAGAAAAAGACUUCUUGAAUCUCUUAAAACCGUUGCAAAAGCAGAGCAAGCACUUAUUUACGGACACUAGCAUCCACAUCACAUUUCAACUUUUAUAUGUAUAGGUGGAAUCUGGUUUCCUCUAUUCUAUCCGUUAGAGGGACAUUUUUCUAUUCACUUAAAACUAUAAGUUUUGAAGCCAUAUCAUUUGCACUAAAAGGAGAAUUUUGCUAAAAGAGCUAAUUAUGUCAUAACUAACUUCCCAUAUGAAAGCUCUGAUAAAGUAUAUUAUAUUAAACGUAUAAAAACAGAGGUUAUAUAAUCUUUACAAAUGAUAAGAUAACCUUUACAGAUGAUAAGAUUCGUAGCUGUACGAAGUUCUAUUUACAGUAAACUAACUAUAUUUAAAAUACAAUAGUUAUCCUAUCAUUUCCCCUCAAGUUGAACUAUCUAGAAGAAAGAUAGACAACUUAUCUCUGAGAUCGUGAAACUGUAUCCGUGUUAAAGGCUUGGUAAGAAUAUCUGCAAUCUGAUCUUUCAUAGAUAUAUAGCAAACUUGAAUUUCAUUGGCUGUAACUUUCUCAUGAACGAAAUGAAGAUCAAUUUGUACAUGUUUCAUACGAUUAUGAUAGAUUGGAUUGACCAUAAGAGAUGUAGCUCCCAAAUUAUUACACUACAAAAUCGAAAUUAUUGGUUUCACACCUAACUCACACAACAAAUUACGAAACUGAAGUACCUCAUAUGUUGUAUUUGCUACAACACGAUAUUCUGCCUCUGUGGAGGAACGAGAAACUGUGUUUUUCUUUUUCGAACUCCAAGAAGCAAAAUUACAAAUAAGGUAAAUUGCAAAACCAGUAGUGGAUUUUUGAUCCUCCAUACAUUCAACCCAAUCUGCAUCAUUAUAAGCCGAGAUAUGAGAUGGGUUUGUCGGUUUGAAUAGUAGUCCAUAAGUAGAAGUCCCUUACAAGUAACGAAGAACGCGCUUGACCUCCGACUAGUGGUCUUCAGUUGGUUCUUUCAUAUACUAUGCCAACUUGUUAACCGAAUAAAAAAUUUCAGGUCUUGUAAAGGAGAGGUACUGAAGACUGCCGAUAGUGCUAUAAUACAAUGUAACAUUAGCAAGUUUACUGAAUUUACUCAGACCUGAUUUUUGUAAAGCAACAGGGGUUGAAAUCGGCUUGGACGCAUGCAUGUUGACGCGUUUCAGCAAGUCUAAAAUAUACUUGGUUUGUAUGAGCAGUAAAGUACCUUUCGACCAGUGCCCUUAAAUUCCAAAAAAGUACCAAAACUUCCCUAAGUUCUUUAGUAAAAAGAAUUUCCCCAAAUGUUGUUCCACCUAUUGAAUUAAUUCAGAACUCUUGCCUAUCAAGAUAAGAUCAUCUAUAUAGGCUAAACAAUACAUAGUAUGUUCAUUUGAGCGAAAAAUGAACAAUGAGUGAUCUAACUUGGAUUGAGUGAAGCCAAACAAAAGGAGAGAAUCUUUUAAACAAUUAUGCCAUUCUCGUAGUGCUUGUUUUAGUCCAUAAAGAGAACGAUGCAACUUACAUAAAUGAUAUGGUUUAGAAUUAUCAACAAGCUGCGUUAUGUAAAUUGUCUCGUUUAGCUUACUAUGCAGAAAUACAUUCACAACAUCGUAGUGCUGAAUAUCUCAAUUAUGAGAAACCGUAAUACUUCAGACUGUACUGAUUGUCGUUGAUUUCACAACAAGAGAAAACAUUUCUCCAAAAUCUACUCCCGACCAUUGGUGGAACCCUUUUGCUACAAGCCGAGCUUUGUAACGAGCUAUAGAACCAUCUGAAUGUUCGUUAAUCCAAAAUACCCAUUUACUGCCAACCACAUUCUCCCCUUGCGGAGGUACAACAAGGUCCCAAGUCCCCACUUUCUGUAGAGAAUUGAGUUCACUCGUCAAUGCUUUACGCCACUUAGGAUACUUCUUAGCUUCAGUUACUGAACCAAGUUGCAAAGGAGGGGGAAUUGCAGUAAGAACCUUCAGUUUGGAGUGUUUAGUUUAUGACUUAGUCAACAUGGGAUGGGUAUGAGUGGAGAUCGGAACAGGGGGUGUAGGUAAAGGAAGGGGAGGAAUAACGGGUUCAAAUAGAGGAGGCCGAGUGGGAGCUACAUUUAGUAGGGAUGAUGAGGCGGUGGGUUCGGUGGAAGGGAAAGCUGAAGGCAUAGAAGGAGCUAGAGUAGGAGGGAAAAAAGGUUCAACAACAGUUCCAGUAACUGGAGUUGGUUUCGGAAUUAAGUGAAGAGGUGAAGGUCCCAAAAUACCUUGACUUGUGUUGAAAGGAUAGUGAACAACCGGCGAUGGCACUUAAGAAGAUUUAAAGGGAAAGUGAAUCUCAUCAAAUAUCACAUGGUGAGAAAUAAAUAGCUUUCUAGUAGUAAUAUUAUAACACUUAUAGCCUUUGUGGAAAGAGCUAUGUCCAAGAAAAACACAAGGUGCAGAAUAAUUUUCAAGUUUAUGAUUAGUAUAUGGACGCAAGAAAGGGUAACACAAGCAACUAAAAACUCGACGCUCAUAUAAGUCAUUAUUUCUAGAAAAUAAUUUUUCAAAGGGAGAUAGAUUGGCCAACAUUGGUGUAACAAUACCAUUUAGCGAAUAGACAGCAGACUCGAAAGCAAAAUCCCAAUAUGACAGGGGAACCGAUGCACUAGUCAUCAUAGUAAGUCCGGUUUCAACAAUAUGAUGAUGUUUUCGCUCUGCACAACCAUUAUGUUGUAGAGUAUAUAGAUAGGAGACUCGUAAAGAAAUGCCAUUGUCAGACAAAUAUUUCGACAGAGACCAAAAUUCUCUCUCCAAUCACACCGAAACAUUUUAAUUUUAACAGAAAACAUGUUCUCAACUAGAGCACGAAACUGAACAAAAGUAGAACAAAUAUCAGACUUAUGUUUUAGACAAUAUAACCAUGUAUAUUUGCUAUAAUAAUUAUAAAAUAAAAUAUAAUAAUGGUUACCAUUAAGAGAAGGUACUGGAGAAAAUCUCCAAAUAUCGGAACAAAUAAGUUCUAAAGGAGUAGUAGCUUGAAAUGAAGACAAAGCAAAAGAAAGUCUAUGCGACUUGCUAACAGUAUAAGAUGCACAUAAUGACUUCUUAUUGGAAUUAAAAACAAUAUUAUUGUGACGCAAAGUAGACAACAUAGCACGAUCAUGAGCAUGCCCAAGCCGUGAAUGCCACGAGCAAAAAGAAACAUGGUACACGGAAGCAGAAAACACAACACCAGCAAUUUAUAGAGACCGCGAUCAACCAGACCUCUAUGAAGAACUUUCCUCGUGCGGAUACCUUAACAAGAAAAUAUUCAAAGAAAAAUUCAAGUGAAACCUUAUUAUCACAAGAAAAAUUGCGAACAGAUAAUAAACUAUAAGGAGAAUGCUUAGAAAAUAAAAUAUUAUUUAAUCGAAAAUUGGAACCAAACGAAAAAGUAUAGCCACCAGUAUGAGAGAUAGGAAUUGUUUUACCAUUACUAACUAUGACUUCGUCUAGGCCAUGAUACUCAGACUCAAGAGAGAGAUUAUUGAGAGACCCAGUAAGGUGGUGCGUAACGCCUGUGUCCACUAUUCAAGGCUAGGAAGAAUUAUCAGAUUGAGAGUUGAUAUGGUGAGCUUGGGAAUUGGUUAGAUGUCAACGUUAACUAGGACACUGUCUGGAGAUAUGUCUAGUUCUAUUGCAAUUGUAACAGGUCAGAAAGCUAACAAAUUGGCUAGUAUUAAAAGUAUUCAAAGCUGGAGACCCAUGCGAUCUCCCUCUAGGUGAAUACCGUCCUCCUCGAUGACCUCCUCUAUGGGUGCAAGAGGAGGGAGAGCUGCGCGAUUGAUCACGAAGACCAAUAAAGCAAUAGAUGGCAACGAGAUUGCUUAUUUCAAGCUUCAUCAGUUGUUUCUCCUCUAAUAGAAGUAGUCCGAGCAGAUCCUUAAAAGACACAGGCUGUAACAUUGCCUCAAUCGACCUCACAAAUGGCCGAUAAUUCAAAUGUAAACCAUCAAGUAUUGCCCCAACCAAGUCAUUUUCAGAAAUAGGAUUUUGAAGUUAUUGUAAUUGAUUUGAAAGAACCUUUGCUCGCGCCAUAUACACCUCAACUGUCUCGUCAUUCUGUUCAAGGUGAUGCACAACACUUUUGAGAUGCCAAAUUUGGGUGGCCGAACCAGCAUAAUAAGUUGAUUCAAGCUUGAUCAAACACCCAACGCUGUCGAAACUCCAACUACAUUAUUUAUCACACUUUCGGAAAGAAAAGAAAGUAAUCAACUAAGAACAAUUUGAUCCUCACGAAACCAAAUUAUAUGAUCUGGAUUCAGUUCAUGUGAGUUCGAUAACAAAGCAAGAGGUGGAGUAUAGGUUUUGUCGAUGUGUUUCUCAAGAUUAUACCCACCCAAAAAUGACAGGAUUUAUAUUUUCUAAACAACAUAAUUUACAGAGGUAAACUUGAUAGUAAUUUGAUUGGAAACGUUUGGAAUAGAAGAAAUAAAUGAGAAAAUUAUGGAAGACUGAACCGCAGGAGAAGAAGUAGAUGGAGAGGAAACAAAAUUUAUAUACAUGUGCUUCUGGUUGCAAACCCAAGAUCGAUAACAUCAUUGAGCAUGAGGGCAGUUGAUAAAAACAUGAUCUACACUUAUGUGCAGUAAAGGCAACAAGCAUCAACAUCAACUGAUUUUUUCUCAAGAUUUAUCAAGAUACCUUGCAAGAGUCUCCGCAUGAAAUUCUUGAUUUUUAGAAAUAUAUGUAACUUUUAGCUUCCACUCACCAAGAGAAGCAUAGCUAACGACCAUAUUAUCAGAAUGAAUAACUAAAAUGUCAAAUAAACUUGUCUUCCCUGAUUAGACGCACAUAAAAGAAUCUUAAAAGUUUUGUUCACAGAUUAAUAUUUACUUUCAUUAACAGAUUAAUUUUUCAUUUAAAUUAAAUAUAAAUUAUCCUUAGUAACAAAUAAAAUAAUAUUUAAAAUAUUUCUACUGAAUUAAUUUUCCUCUCUUUCUCAUCCACUCCUAGUCUCUCUCUCUCUAUUAAUUUUAUUUCUCCAUUUUGCCUCUCUCCCUCCUAGUUUUUCUCAUUUCAAUUAUCAUUGUCAUUGCAAAAUAUUCAACAAAAUGAAAAAAUUUAUAUAUAUAAUUUAAAUCAAAACGCAAAAUAACAGCAAUAUAUAUAUCUUUUGAAAAAUUAAAGAGACCCUUAUCUAUUUAUCAAAUAAAAUAAUUAUUUUUAUAAUUUACUAAAAGUUAUUUCAUCAUUUUCUUCUCUCUUAACUAAUUAAUCUAUUUGGGGAGUGAGUACGGAGUGAAUUAUUGAAAUUUUAGCAAUUAGAAAAAAUUAAUUCAAUCAAAUGAAGAAUUAUUUUAUUAUAAUUUAUAUUAUACAAAAACUUUAAAUGAUAAAUAAAAAUAGCAGUAAUUCAAUUUAAUUCUUCAAAAUUCUCCCAAAACACUCAAAUUGAAGCAAAAACAUUCAGUUAGCACAAAAUUGAAGAAAACUUGAGUUAGAACAUUCCAAUAAUACAAACUAGUUCAAUAUUGAAGAAUAAAAUAUAUAAUCCCGUAAAAUAAGAAAAUGAAGAAUACAAAUGCUCUGAGAAAUUUUAUAUUGUCAUUUUAUUGUAACCAAAAUAAAUGUUUCCAAGUUUUAAAUCUUAGAAUUUUGACAUAUAAUAAUUUAUUUUAAAUUUUAUGCUAAAUUUAUAUUGGAUUUAAUUUUUACUUUCGUAACUUUUCGAAAAAAAUUUUUUAAGACAAUUUUCAAAAAUAUGAAAAAUACUGUAGGUUUAUCACAAAAUUUGAUAUGAAAAUUACAUUAUUUAGGAGUUAAUUUUAUAUUUUAUUUAUUUUUUAAAAAGUAAUUUUUUAAUUUUUAAAAAUUUUAAUAAUAUUUUUUAAUUUUUAACAUAUCUGUCUCAGCCAAUGAUGAUUAGUUAGAAAGAUUAAUAAUUUCUAACGAAAUCUAAAUAUUCUUUUAUUAAGUUUUCAACCCAUUUUAUAAUGCUAUUCCUGAUCUACGUGAUUGGAUUUGAAACUACCAUUUGAUUGAUAUGCAAAGUCUUCCAAAAACCUAAUUUUCAAAAAUGGUGGGUAAUAACCUUUUUUGUUUUUCAAAAAUAGUGGGCUAUUGACUAUUUAUUUCAAAUUUUUUCAAAAGACUACUUUUCAAACAUACUAGGCUAUUUAGCUUACCAAUCGUAAAUUUUUAUAUAUAAUUCUCUACUCCCUAUUGCUAAUCUCUGCAUAUGAGAAAAUCGAGAUGAGCACAGAUUCUUUCCAAACCUCCAACACCAAGAGGUAACAAAUAGCAGUAAACAGCAGAAAUAGAAAGAGUUUUCAUGAAUUUAAUAUAAAAUUUUUUUUAAUUCUUGCAGGCUAGAAGGUUUGGUGGCUAUAAUAACUGGUGGAGCCAGUGGAAUAGGCGAGUGCUGUGCAAAGGUGUUUGUUAAACAAGGAGCCAAAGUUGUGAUUGCAGACGUUCAAGAUGAGCUGGGCCACUCUCUUUGCAGACAACUUGGAACUGAAGAAACAAUCUCUUACAUCCAUUGUGACGUGUCAUGUGAUUCUGAUGUCCAAAACGCAGUGGAUUUAGCCGUCUCCAGAUAUGGAAAGCUCGAUAUUAUGUUCAGCAAUGCUGGGAUUUCAGGGAAGAUGGAGUCUAGCAUUUUAUCCACAGAAUAUGACGAUAUCAAAAGGGUUUUUGAUGUGAACGUUUAUGGAGCUUUCUUGGCAGCCAAACAUGCAGCUAGGGUCAUGAUUCCUGCCAAGAAAGGCUGUAUUAUCUUCACUGCAAGUUCAGCCACAGUUACUUGCACACAGGCUCCUCAUCCAUACGUGGCAUCAAAACAUGCCCUGGUUGGUUUGGCCAAGAACUUGUGUGUCGAGCUGGGCCAAUGUGGGAUAAGAGUGAACUCUAUUUCUCCACAUAUGGUUAUAACUCCAUUGGUGAGAAAAACUAUGAACAUGACGGUGAAGGAGUUGGAGGAUAUGAUUUCUGCAACGGCUAACUUGAAAGAGUCAGUAUUUGAAGGAGAAGAUGUAGCAGAGGCAGCUGUUUAUUUGGGAAGUGAUGAGUCCAAGUAUGUGAGUGGGAUAAAUCUAGUGAUUGAUGGAGGUUUUAGUCUUACAAAUCCAUCUUUUGCUUUUGCAAUGAAAGGCUUAAUCUCUUGAAGUGUUCUUCGUUUUGAUCCCUUCGAUUUAAAAAAUAAGUUGGUAUUCUGUUUUGUUUGUGGAUGUGAUUUAUUGAUCAUGAUCCUGCCAUUUUUUCUCCUGUUGGAAAAGUUUUUCUAUUAAAUAAUAUUUGAGGAAAAUAUUUGCUUAAUCUCCAUCUAUAUAUGUAGAUUCAAGAGGUUUAUAUAUUUAGUUAAAUCCUCAAUAAAUUAUUGGAAAAAAUUAAAAAUAAUACAGUUGUGAUUUUAUAAUUUUAUAAUUUUUGAGUUUAUGAUUUAAUUUGUGUUAAAAUUGUAUUUUUUCGAUUAAAAUAUUUAUAAAAAUAAAUAAAAUUUUAGAAAUACCCAAAUCAAAUCAUGAAAGAAGAUAUUUUAUAAAACAUUGAAAUCAGAUUGCUUAUUUAUAUAUAUAAAAAAUUCCUAAAACAACAAAUAAAAAAAUAGUUAAUGAAAUAAGUGAAAGAAUCCAAGAAUCAACCUUGCAAUACCUGUUUCCCCUUCUUCCUUUACUUCUUCUAUUUUCCUUUGUCAGCAUUGAAGCCAACUCUUUAAGCAACACUUCUAAUUACUAUCGAUGAUUAGAAGUCUAGUACUCGUUGCAUAUAUAUAGUCUCUCCAUCUGCAAAUGAUCUCGUUGGUAUUAACAACACAUGAAGUGGCAAAGAUUUAUGGGUAAUUCUAGGUGCUCAUUCGAUUGAUUCAAUUUUAAAUCGAACUGAAUAAAUUAAAAAUUGAAGUUUUAGUAUUUAUAAAAAUCGAGCCGAACUGAUUUUAAUAAGAAAUCAAAUUGAAUUAAAUCGAUAUGAUUCGGUCUGAUUCGAUUCAAUUUGAUCGAUUUGAAUUUUUAAUAAAUUUUUUAUUUUUUAUAUUUUAUUUUUAGUAUUUUAAAAUUUAAUUAGAAUAUUUUAAUUUUAAUAUGAUAUAAUUUUUUAUAUUAUUAAAAAUAAUAUAUUAUUAUCACUAAUCGAUUGGUUUGAUUUUUUUAAUUUUUUCUGAUUAAAAUCGAAUCAAAUCGAAUCAAAAUAACUAAAAUUUUUAAAAUUAAAAAUCGAAUCGAAAUGAAUAAAAAAUUAAAUCGAAUUUUUAAAUUAAUUCGAUUCAGUCAAAUUUUCCAGUUUGAUCAGAAUAUUGUUGAUUUAUGUAAUCCUAACUGAUUUUUUUUUUAUUUAGUUUAUCUCAACUGGAAUCAAUAUUUAUAGUUAAAACUUUAUUUGUUUGGCGCAUAAUAUUUUUUAGCAGAAUAUUUAUAUACUUUUUAAUAUUUAGAGUAUUUAAAAUAAUUAGUUAAUAAAAAAUAUAUUCAUCACUAAAUAAAAAAUUAAGUCAUUUUCUCCGUUUAAAUUUUUUUUUAACACUUUUAUAUAAUUUUGUUAAUCUAUUUUAUUUUUUAAUUAAAAUUAAAUAACAAAAAAAUAUUUUGUACAUCUAAAUAUUAAUUAUUUUCUGAAAUCAUACAGAUAUUUAAAACAAAUAUGUCAUGUUAAGUAAUUAAAAUUUAAUACUAUUUUUAAAACAAUUGUUUUAUCUAUUUUUAAAAAAAAACUUAAAAAUUAAUUAAAAAUUUAUUUUUAUAGAAAUUGAAAAUUUGAAUUAUGAAAUUACGAAACAUAGUUUUUAUUAAUUGGAUCAAUACCUUCAAUUUUUUUAGUAAGUCAUUCAAGAAAAUGAAAAAAUCAAUUAUAUUUUUCAUAUGAUCUCCCUUUUGUAUAGAUUAUAAAUAAAAUGAAAUAUUUAUGAAAUUUCGAAUCAAAUCUUAUUUUAUUAUUUUAGAUCGAAACAAAUUAAUAGAAUUUUUUUUUAUGUCCCCAUGUCCUUUACGUGUGGCGAUAUAAAGGUAAAAUUAAAAUUUUUCUAGAGAUUAAAUAAUGAUUUUUUAUUUUAUUAUUGAUAAGAGUAUUUUUAAUAUUUUUUUUUAUAAUUUAUUAAUUUAAGUAGAAAUUUUUGGUGAAAAAAUUUAAAAUUUAAAAUUUUAAUGGAAUUAAAUUUUAGAGAUGAAAUUAUUAGAUUUUAAAAAGUGUUGGAUUCCAUGGAUGGAUCUAUGUAUGGGCCCAUGGCCUAAGAGUAUGCCAUGGAUGGAUCUAUGUAUGGGCCAUGGCCCUAUGAAAUUUUUUAAAUUAUCUAAGGAGAUUUAAGUAAUUUUCUUUUAACUCAAAAAAAUUACUAUUGAGUUCCUUAAUUUUUUAAAAAAUUAUUAAUUUAUUUUUAUUUAAAAAUUACCUAAUUAAAAAGUUUUUAUAUUUUAUAAAAUUAAAUUCUUUAAUUUUUAUAUUAAAAAAUUUAUUAAUCUAUCUUAAAUUUAUAUUACUUAAUCUAUAUAAUUUAUUAUUCACUCUCUAUAAUUUCAUAUAUUUAUACUAUUUACUCCAUUUAGGUAGAAUUAAAAUAAAUUAACUAAUUAUUUUUUUAAAAAAUAAACUAAAUAAUUUAAUUUUAUAAAAUAUAAAAAUAUUUUAAUAGAGUGAUUUUAAUAUAAAAACAACUAAUAAAUUUUUAAAAAUUUCAUAAUAAUUCUCUCAUAAAUAAAAUUUCUAAUUUUCAAUAUUAUUUUUAUAGCAAUUACCCUCAUCCAUAUAUUCCUCUCCAUCUUUAAUUUUUUACAAUCCAAAAAAUUUAUUUCUAAUUUUUAAAAUUUUAAUUUCAAGUAUUUUACUUAAAUUUUUAAAUAUAUAUUUAAUAAAUUAUUUACUUAUUAUUUAAUUUAUUUUUAUACACUAUAUUUACUAUUAUAAAGUAAUUUUUUUUCAAUUGUUCUAAUUAAAUUUAAAUAUUAAUUUAAAAAUUUUAUUUUUAGCAUACAUCUAAAUAAUUUUUUUUAAAUAAUUAAAAUUAAAAAUAUUAUUUAAAAUGAAAUUAGAUCUUCUAACUUAAAUAUCUGAAUUUAUUAUUAUGAGAUUUUUAAAAAUAAUUUAUCCUGAUGAAUAUCUUAAUUUCAAAAUAUUCAUAUAAAUUAUUUUUCCUCACUCUCUCACUCACCCUCUCCAUAGUCUCUCUUUCUCUAUUAUUUUUUUUUCUCCAUUUUUUUUCUAUCUUUUUCAUCAUAAAUGAUUCUUUUACUUGAUCUAACUUGAUAGAAAAUUUUAAUUUAUUAGACCUUUCAAUAUAAUUAAAUAAAAAAUUUUUAAAAAAUCAUAUAAAUUAAAAUUUUAUUAUGUUUUAAUUCUUAUCGAUAAUAAAUAUCAGAAUUAAAAUCGAUUAUAAUUUUGUAUUUAUUAUAAAAAUUUUUAAAGAAUGCAUUAGACUAAAUGAAUAUUUUCAAUUUUCUCAUUUCAAUUAUGAUUAUCUAAACAAAUUCAAAAAAAAUGCAAACAUCAAUCUAAAUAAAAGCACAAAUAAUAAAUUCAAUCUAUAAAUAAAAAAUAUAUACUCCUCCUCAAACUCUGAUCUGUUAUUUUUUAAGAUUUAAUACCUCGAAAGGCCGGACUAGCAAUAAUCAUAAAUAUAUGUUAUAUGAUUCUCUUCUCCCUUGUUGCUAAUCUCUCCAUUGGAGAAAAUCAAGAUGAGCACAGAUUCUUCCCAAACCUCCAACACCAAGAGGUAACAAAUAGCAGUAAACAGCAGAAAUAAAAAGAGUUUUCAUGGAUUUAAUUUAUCAUUUUUAUUAAUUCUCGCAGGCUACAAGGUCUGGUGGCUAUAAUAACUGGUGGAGCCAGUGGAAUCGGCGAGUGCUGUGCAAAGGUAUUUGUUAAACAAGAAGCCAAAGUUGUGAUCGCCGAUAUCCAAGAUGAGUUGGGUAACUCUCUUUGCAGACAACUUGGAUCUGAACAAACAAUCUCUUACAUCCACUGUGACGUCACAUGUGAUUCUGAUGUCCAAAACGCAGUGGAUUUAGCCAUAACCAGAUAUGGAAAGCUUGAUAUCAUGUUCAGCAAUGCUGGAAUUGCCGGAAAGCCGGAGCUUAGCAUUUUAUCAACAGAAAAUGAAGAUUUCAAAAGGGUUUUUGAUGUGAACGUGUAUGGAGCUUUCUUGGCAGCCAAACAUGCAGCCAGGGUCAUGGUUCCAGCCAAGAAAGGCUGUAUUAUUUUUACUGCAAGUAUGGUCUCAGUUAAUUGCCCACAGGCUCCUCAUCCAUAUGUGGCAUCAAAACAUGCCCUGGUUGGUUUGGCCAAGAACUUGUGCGUGGAGCUGGGCCAAUAUGGGAUAAGAGUGAACUCAAUUUCUCCAUAUGUGGUUAUAACUCCGCAGGCGAGGAAGACUUUGAGCAUGCCGGUGAAUGAGAUGGAGGAUGUGAUUUGUGCGGCGGCUAACUUGAAAAAGGCAGUGCUUGAAGGGGAAGAUGUAGCAGAGGCAGCUGUUUAUUUGGGAAGUAAUGCGUCCAAGUAUGUGAGUGGGAUCAAUUUAGUGGUUGAUGGAGGUUUUAGUCUUACCAAUCCAUCUUUUGCUCUGGCAAUGAAAGGCUUAAUCUCUUGAGAUUUUCACCAUUUUGAUCUCUUCUUAAGUAAUAAGUUGGUGUCCCCUUUUGUUUCAAUUGAAUGUUGUUUACUGAUAUGAUUACGAAUUUUCCUGCUGAAAAUAUUUGCUUCUGAUCUGUGUGUGUAUGUAAAUUCAAGAUAUAAUAAUUAUGUCUACUCUAUUGAAAAUACUGAUAAUAGGAUGUUUAUGUUUUGAGUUUAUUGUAGAAUUUCUAGAAUUUCAAAUAUUUUUUACCUCAAUAACAAUGAUGACCGCCGAGUCUCAUUUAUACCGGGUAAGAGCGGGUCCAAGAGAAUAAUGCUGGCCCAAAACUCAUGAAGUCUUCCUUCAAUUGACCGGUCCAACGUUUCAAAACUCGGACCAGAUACGUAGAGCAGGUCGGAUCGAUCGUAAGUUCAAGACCAAUUGAUAAUGAUCCAGCCCAGUGAUGUGACGUGAAGGAAAGCAACAAGUCCAAUUACUUUGGAGUUCUGUCCACAGGCCCGCCGAAAAAUUAAAUGGCUGUUUUGCGUGGAAAGGAAUUGAAACAUCUGUACGUAACUUGAGAAAUAGAAAUAAGUGAUACUAUAGUAAAAACGCCAUUAAACAUUACUAGUAAAUAAAAAAAAUAAAAAAAAUAAGAAAAAUGUUUUUCUCUCCAUUUAAAUUCACACUCAUACUUUAAAUUUUAAAAUUAAUGCUUUUAAAAUUAAAGCAUUACGUAUCAAAUAUAAUAAAAUUAAUUAAUUUAAUUAUAAAAUAUAAUGAUUGAUUUAUUAGGUUUUCAAAUUUUCCAAAUUAAAUAAUAAUUUAUUUUCUUUUAAUAAAAAUACAAAUGAAAAACUUAGAACGAUUAAUUAAUUUUAUAAUACAACUAGGCAAAUCCCCUUUGUCGUUAAUAUCAAUUUUAUAGGUAAGAUAAAACCUAUUCUUUUUCGGUCCGUUUUGUCUUUUAUUCAUUGUGGAAUCUUUUCUAGGUUGGAGAAAUAGUUUCCAAAAGAUUCCUUAUUCACGUGAUUGCACAUUUUUUUUUUAAUAUAAAAUUACAUUUUAUUAUUUAAAAUAAAAUCAAAAUUUUAAAAAACUCAAAUCGAAACGCAAAUCAAUACGUUGAAAUUCUUAAAAACAAUUGAAUUUGACUUCUUCAAAAUUUUAAAAUAGAAAAUGAGACAUCUUAUACGGCAAUGAUAAUAUAUUGUAAUGGGAGUUGGUAAAGCGAAAAAUAAGUAGACAACCGGUUUCGAUUAAUUUAAGAUUAAAAUUUUUUUUGGUAAACUGUUAUGGUCAAAUAAUUAAUAUAAAAACAUUUUUUUAAGAAAAAAGAAGUUCUCUUUAUCUUCAACAAAUAAAUGCUAGAUUGAAUUCUCAAUACCAAAUUAAAAAAUUGAUAAUAAGUAUUCUCCUACUUCUCACAAUUAUGUAAGAAAAUAUAAUAUUUCUGCAUGCAAGAUCAAUAUUGAAUGAUCUUAGCUCAACAGGAUCAAGAUGAGCACAAAUUCUUCUCAAAUCUCCGCCACCAACAGGUAACUAAACUAACCUGUAGAAUUUGUUCUUUAUGAUUGGCAAAUGUAAAGUUCGAUUUUUGUCUGCAGGCUAGAAGGUAAGGUGGCUUUGAUAACAGGCGGAGCCAGUGGAAUAGGAGAGUCCAGUGCUAGGCUGUUUGUCAAACAAGGAGCCAAAGUCGUCAUCGCUGAUGUCCAAGAUGAGCUUGGCCUUUCUCUUUGCAAAGAAAUUGGCUCAGAAGUUAUUUCCUAUAUCCAUUGUGAUGUAACAUGUGAUUCCGAUGUCCAAAAGGCAGUGGAUUUGGCUAUCUCCAAGUAUGGAAAGCUCGAUAUUAUGUUCAGCAACGCUGCAGUUUCAGGCAACUCACCUCCAAUGAUUUUAGCCACAGAAAAUGAAGAUUUCAAAAGGGUAUUCGAUGUCAAUGUAUUUGGUGCUUUCUUGGCAGCCAAACACGCUGCCAGGGUCAUGAUCCCAGCCAAGAAAGGCUGUAUUCUCUUUACUUCAAGUGCUCUUUCAGUGACUUGCGCAGGAGGUCCCCAUCCAUAUGUGGCAUCAAAACAUGCAGUGGUUGGCUUGGCCAAGAACCUGUGUGUGGAAUUGGGCCAAUAUGGUAUAAGAGUCAACGUUGUUUCUCCAUUUGUAGUAGUGACCCCAAUGAUGAGGAAAUCUAUGGGCCUCAUUGUAAUGGAGAAGGAGAAGAUCCAAGAAGCUGUGUCUUGUGCAGCUAACUUGAAAGGGGUUGUGUUGGACGGAGAAGAUAUAGCAUAUGCAGCUUUGUAUUUAGCAAGUGAUGAGUCCAAGUACGUGAGUGGGAUGAAUCUGUUGGUUGAUGGAGGAUUUAGCCUUACCAAUCCUUCGUUUGCUGUGGCAAUGAAAAGCCUCUUCUCUUGAGUCACUGUAAUGUUUGGUCAACUCUCAUGUUAUAUUUGGGCGAUUAUAUAUGCUUGUUCCUUAAUUGUACGCAUCUGAAAUAAGAAUAUUUUCUACCUGGAAUAAACAAAUUUAGCAUGUUUAUGUUUGGGUUAAAUUGAAACUAGAAUUCAAGGAUUAAAAUAAAAAAUUAACGCAUGGUGUAGUACUCAAUUUCACAUGUUUAUUUAUAUGUUUCAUUAAAUUAAGGGACUAAAUAAUAAAUUACCAAUAAUAUUUGAUAAUUGCCGGACUUUCUACACCUUGAGAUAAGGUCGGGCUCUAAAGAAAAAGAUAAAUCCAAAAUCUAUCGGGCCAUUCUCAAGCAAAUCGACCCACUGCAGUAAGUUCUAAUCCAAACACAUGGGCAGGCCGGUUGACUCAUAAGCGCGGGCCCAACAGAAGAUAACCCGUAUGGCGGCGAUAUGACGUGAGAGAGAAUAGCUGACCCAGCCAUUUCGCAGCCUUAACAGCACGCGCGCCGGGAGAAUUAAAUGGCCGCUUGGCGUGGAGGGUGCUCUGACGCAUCCAUACAUACGGGUCCGAGUGACAUAGAGACAGGUGGUUUGCAGCCCGCUUGGCGUGGAGGGUACUCUGACGCGUCUGUACGUACGAGUCUGAGUGACAGAAAAAUAAGUGGCACUGUAGUAAAGAGACGAUUAGACUUCACUGGCAGACAAAAAGAAUAAGGAUAAAAGGGAAGAAACGUGAUUUUUCCGACCAAACUUAUAUAUAUAUUUUAAAUCCUAUUUUCUGGAUCACAUGAUAUCAAUAUUUAUUGAUGAUAUUUGGAGAAAAAUGUCAACUUUUCUAUAUCAAAUUUCUGUUAAUAAAUAGAAGCCUAAAAAACGGUUAAAAUACUCGGCAAAUUUUGUUACUUCCUAAUGCAAGAAGCAUGUCAAAGAUUUAAAACACCUUCUACUUACAUUUCCUCUCAUUCAUUCUAAAUGACUGCGGGUUUUCAUGGCUGAUCAUUUGAGCAGUAUAUAAGCCUAAAAAUCAAAUCACCCAUCUGCACAAAAACAAUGAGAGCUCUUACAAGUUAUCUGGUGUUCUUACCUUCACUGAUAUUGUCUGUGAAUUAUAAUUACUCUUGUCUUGGUUAUUGUUUCACCGAAGGAUACCUUGUCCACAUUUCAAACCACUUGUCCGACAACAGAAAUCUAAGUCUUCAUUGCUGGUCUGGCGACGACAAUCUGGGUAACCAUGAAUUAUCAUCAUCUGCAGAAUUUGAGUUCCAUUUUUGUCUGAACAUUUGGGGAACCACAAAAUUCUGGUGCGACUUCAGUUGGAAUCACCACCAGUAUGGUGGCAUUUUUAAAGUAUUUUGGGUAGGGCGUAAGCUAGUGCAGAUGUGCAACCAUAAAAAUUGUGUUUGGUCUGCAAGAGAUGAUGGGAUUUAUCUGUUGGAUAUUGUUAGUGGAAUUUUUGUUAAGAAAUAUAUAUGGGAAGCCAAGUGGCAUCAACCUCAGACAAGGGGUGCUAAAUAAACAUUGCAAUUAUAGGUAAUUUUAAACAUAAAUUUUCGUCAUUUAUUUUUUUUAAUUUUAGAUAAAUUUAAAUAUCUUGACGUAAAUUAAUGAAUAUUGAAAUGAGUGGUCUGAUAAUGAAUAAAUUUUACGGGAUAAAUCAAAGAAAUAGAUAAUAUAUGUUUGGAAAAAAAAAAUUCACAAACACAUUAAUUUCUUGAAAAUAAGUACUACAAGAAUCUUGCAGAAUAUAAACGAAAUGAUUAAGAGUGGGGACUCGGAGAAAAUGUUUCCAAUGCUAUUGCAAAGGAAGGGUUGGUGAGACUGUAGCCUCCAUCAACCACCAGAUUGAUCACACUCACAUACUUAGCCUCAUCACUGGCCAAAUACAAGGCUGCCUGAGCAAUACCUUCAGGUUCCAAAACAGCACCUUUCAAAAUCUCUCCUGAUGAAAUAAACUCAUCAGUCUUCUUCUUCCCCAUAUUCAAAAUAUCAGUAGUCAUGGGACUUGCAACUCCAAAUGGAGAAAUACUAUUAACCCUAAUCUCAUAUUGUCCCAACUCCACGCACAAGUUCUUGGCAAGCCCCACCACUGCAUGCUUUGAUGCCGUAAAAGCAUGUAACGGGAAGUUAGACUUUGAUGACCGCUGGACCUCAUCUACCCUGGAUAAGACCGGAUAUAAUUAGAAAACAGCGCUGGCCCAAACUCAUAAAACCCCUUUAGUUGACCCAUCCAGUAUCUCAAGUCUUGACCCAGACACACGGGGCAGCCAGGUCGAUCGCGGGUCGAGUCCAACAGGAGGUAAUCCAGCCCAGUGAUAUGACGUGAGGAAGAAUAGUAGGCCUAAUCACUUCGCAACUCUGCCCGCGCAUGCGAGCCGAGGGGAAUUAAAUGGCUGCUUGGCGUGGAGAGGGAGUCUGACACGUCUGUACGUACGGAUCUGAGUGAUAGAGACAGGUGACACUGUAGUAGAGAGGCAAAAGGGAUAAAAAGGGAGAAACGUCUUCCUCUCCAUCUAAUCUUACACUCAUACUGUAAACCUUAUUUUUUAAAUCUCAUAACAUCAAUUGGCGCCGUCUUGAUGUCUACCUGCCACGACACUCUGGGGCCUUCCUUCAGCUCCACUACAGCAAAACCCUCAGCCCAACCCUAUAUGGAGUUCUUGUUCUCCAAGAAAAUAAACAACCCUUCUCAGGGGGAAAAAUAAUAUAAGCUCUGGUUAGCCCGGACCAGGCAAAAGAAAGUAGAAAACAAGCGGGCCAUAGGGGUGAAAUCCCAACUUAGGCUAAUGGACUCGAAGGAACACAUGAAGAGAAUUGAGUUAGGGGCAAGCAUACGGGGAGUUAUCCCCAAGUAUCGAAAGACCUCAACAAAAAACGUAGAAAAAGAGAAGGUCAAGCCAAACUCACGUUGCUUGACAAAGAAAAGUAGGUUAAGGUCCCUCUGGGGGUCAAUCAGACCAGAGGGAGGAGGAUCGGGAAGAACGAUCCUCUCAUUGCGAUGGGAAGUCCUAAUACGGAAAAGAGGGGUAUCCAGGUACUCCCGAGAAAAGAAGGUCGCAAGAAAGAAAGAGGUGACACUAGACUCUAGGUUCAUGACGUCAGGAAAAAGAUGGAGCACACAGAGAGCAGCAGGAGAAGAAGAGUCUAGCGAGGGUUUGAAAUUUUGAAUUUGAAAACAGUGAAGACAAAGAAGAGACAUUUUGAGGAGAGCCGUUCUCGGACCGCGCAGUCAUAAUGGGUUCUAGGGAUUUAUAGAGGAGAGCCGUUUUCGGACUGCGCAGUCAUAAUGGGUUCUAAGGAUUUACCUUCUCAUCAAUCAUGCAAUAACUGUUGAGGAGGUAAAAGGACAAUUGAUGACUGUUAGACCUCAUCUACCCUGAACAAGGCCGGACCCAAAAAAAAGUGUUGGCCCAAAGCUCAAGUCCCCUUUAGCUGACCCAUCCAGUAUCUCAAGUCUUGAUCCAGACACACGAGAUCAGCUGAGUCGACCAUGGGCCGAGUCCAGCCCGGUGAUGUGACGUGAGGAAGAAUAGCAAGCCCAGUCACUUCGUAGCCCUGUUUGUAUGCGCGCCGGGGGAAAUUAAAUGACCGCCUGACGUGGAAAAGAGUCUGACACGUCGGUACGUACGGAUCUGAGUGACAAAGACAGAUGGCGUUAUAGCAGAAAUGUCGUUAGACGUUACUAGCAGACAAAAGAAAAAUGGAUAAAAAAGAAUGAACGUCUUUCUCUCCAUCUAAACUUACACUCGUGUAAAACUUAUUUUUUGGAUCUCAGAACAUCAUACUUGAAUUAAAUAAUAUGUGGCAUUUUUUGGCUGGAAUCAGUACCUGGCUGCAUGUUUGGCUCGCAAGAAAGCGCCAAACAAAUUCACAUCUAACAAUUUCUUGAAGCUUUCAUUAGUACAAGCCAAGAUUCCAGGUUCUCCAUCUCCUCCGAUUCCAACAUUGUUGAACAUUAUAUCAAGUUUUCCAUACAUGGAGAUAGCUGUAUCUACAUCGAUUUUGACAUCUGUUUCACAAGUUAUAUCACAAAGGACAUAAGAGAGUUUCUGGGGAGUUGAAUUCUUCGCAGAAGGAUUGGCACUUGCUCUUCUCGGCGAACUGUGAUAAGUACCCUGGCUCCAUGUUGGAGAAAUAGCCUAGCAGUGGACUGUCCAAUCCCACUGGCUCCACCAGUUAUUAAUGCUACCUUUUCUUCUAUCCUGCAAAUUAGAGCAGUAUCAUUAAUUUCUUACAACUUAUGUUUUGAAAAUAAAAAAAGCAGUGGUUUUUAGUCUUGAAAAUUAAAAAACUCAAAUGAAGAAUUGAAUUGCCUUCUAGUGCUGGAACUCAUAUUCAAUUUCUGAGUAGUAGAUAAUGAAUGAAAGGAAGAUGGGAGAUAAAUCUAAUACAGAGAUUAUUGUAUACUUGUGAAUUCUGCUUCCUCGCAGAAUUGGCUUUUUAUAGGCAAAGGAUAUAGCGUGACUGCCCAAUCUCGAAGGUGCAGUGGAAGCUGCAGUUUUCAUAGUAAUAAAUCUCUACGACGACUUGCACAUUUUUCUAAAGACGACUUGACAAAUCUUCGUCAAAGUCCAUCGCGACACGGGUCUCGCAUGUAACGUUUUUAGUCUUUGGUUUCUCUCCCUACUUUUUGCUCACGUUUUUAAUUUAACUCACUUUUUGCACAUUUUUUUGCUAAAUCAUGAAAUCAAGAAUUUUAACUUAAAGAAUAAAGGAAUUAAUUAAGCUUUUUUUUAUAUAAUUUAAAAUUGAGUUAAAUUGAAACUUUUGAGUUAUUGUAGAGAAAAAUAAAUGAAAAAUUCGUUAAUUUGAACAUGUACGAUAAGUAUAUAACAUUUACCCAUAGGUUGGAUCACUUAAAGUGUUUAGUAUAUUAUUAUAAUAUCAUAUUAAUUUAUUAAAGAGGAGAGUAUUUUUGCUGUUGUUAUUAAAAAAAAUAGUAUCACUCCAUUUAGUCAUGGAUUUUAUUUUUAUCAAACAAAAAUCAGAUGCACUCAUAAAAUAAAUUUAAAAAAUUUCAAAUUUUACUCCUCUAAUUUUCAAUUUCUAUUUCAAAAAAAAAAUAACUAUCUCUCGUCUUCUUUGAAAAACGUGUGAGUCCAAAUUAGGCUCUUUUUGUCUAUAAAAUGUAUUUCAAUUUUUAAAGAUAAUUUUAAUAUAAUUUAAUAAUGAAAUAUUUAUUUUAAUAAAGAAAAAAAGAAAGAAAUUAAAAUAGCCUAAGUCUUGCUCUAAAGGAUGCAGAAAAAUCAAACAAAAACUCGGUAGAGAAACCAAAGAAUAUAAAUGUUACCUGCGAGAGCGGCAACCGCGAUGGACUUUGACGAAGAUUUGUCCGUCGUCUUUACAAAAAUAUGCAAUUCGUCGUAGAGGUUUAUUAAUAUGAAACUGCAGCUUCGACGGCAUCUUCGAGAUUAGGCAGUCAUGUUGCGUAUACCCUUUGCCUAUAAAAGCCCAAUUCUGCAAGGAAGCAGAAUUCACUAGCAUACAAUAAUCUCUUUAUUAGAUUUAUCUCCCAUCUUCUUUACAUUCAUUGUCUACCCCUCAGCAAUUGAAGAUGACUUCCAGCACUAGAAGGUAAUUUCAAUUUCCGUUUGAGUUUUUUUAAUUUUCAAGACUAAAAACCACUGGUUAUUUUCAAAACAUAAGUUGUAAAGAAAAUUAUUGAUACUUCUUUAUUUUGCAGGCUACAAGGAAAGGUAGCAUUGAUAACUGGUGGAGCCAGUGGGAUUGGAAAGUCCACUGCGAGGCUAUUUCUCCAACAUGGAGCCAAGGUACUUAUUACAGUUCGCCGAGAAGAUCAAGGACAAUCCUUCUGCCAAGAAUUCAACUCCCCAGAAACUAUCUCUUACGUCCUUUGUGAUAUAACUUGUGAAUCAGAUAUCAAAAACGCUGUAGAUACAGCUAUCUCCAGGUACGGGAAGCUUGAUAUAAUGUUCAACAAUGCUGGAAUUGGAGGUAACGGAGAACCUGGAAUCUUGGCUUCUACUAAUGAAAGUUUCAAGAAAUUGUUAGAUGUGAAUUUGUUUGGUGCUUUCUUGGGAGCCAAACAUGCAGCUAGAGUAAUGAUUCCAGCCAAAAAAGGCUGCAUAUUAUUCACUUCAAGUCUAGCUUCAGUGUGUUGCGUAGAUGCAUCGUUGCAUGCUUAUACAGCAUCAAAGCAUGCAGUUGUGGGGCUUGCUAAGAACUUGUGCGUGGAGUUGGGACAAUAUGGGAUUAGGGUUAAUAGUAUUUCGCCAUUUGGAGUUGCAACUCCCAUGACUACUAAUGCUUUGAACAUGGUGAAGAAGGAGGCUGAAGAGUUGAUCUCGUCAACUGGGAUUUUGAAAGAUGCUGUUUUGGAACCUGAAGAUAUUGCUCAGGCAGCCUUGUUCUUGGCCAGCGAUGAGGCUAAGUAUGUGAGUGGGAUCAAUUUGGUGAUUGAUGGAGGCUAUAGUCUUACCAACCCUUCCUUUGGAAUGGCAUUGAAAAGUAUUUUUUCUUGAGUCUCCAAAUUAAUUUGUUUGUGAAAAAUCAUUCUCUUCUGAAAUUAAAUAUUUUAUAUUUGUUUUAUUUUUCAUGUAAAAUCAUCCAUUGUUAAUUUAUUUAAUGCUUGGAUUGUUUUCUUCAUUUUUAUAUAUAAAAUGAGUUGUUAAUUCUCACUAAAAAAAAUUAAUUACAUAUUUCAGGGAUAAAUAGUUAAUAAUUUAAUGAUUAAUAUUUAUGAUAAUCAAUAAUUUACUUUUUUUUUAAUCAGAAUCAAUAAUUUACUUUAUCGGCAAAUUUUUUAAUAAUUUAAUUAGUAAAUUUCAACGUUAUUCGUUUUUUUUAUAUAGUAUUUGAUUUUCUAUUUUUUAAAAACAUUGUCGCAUAAAUAUAUUUAAAAUAGCGACAAAAAAUUAUUAUUUUAUAUAAUUUAAAAAUAAUCAUGAGUUAAAAAUAACAGUUUAAGACUCGCUAUAUCUAUUGGAUUUAUUCAGCUAACAAAUUGCAAUACACUCCCAACUCCACAAAUUAAAAAAAAAUAUAUACCAAAUCUACAGGCUUCUUCCAAAUGCUCACCAACAAAAACCUAUAAACAUAGUAUAAAAAUCUCAUUUAUCACAAAUAUAUUCUACCUAAAAUUUAUAUUAGAUGAAGAAGAAUAGAUUGGAAAUGUAUCAAAAACAGUGCAAUAUGAUAAAAUCUUAUAAUAACUGGGCUCUAGAUGCUCAGGUUGUGGCUAAGCUCGCACUAAAAAGGUUGAGUCGUAGUUCUAUUAUGGUCCAAUACAUGGGCAUACUCCUUGUACAAGCCCUGAACUUGCUUUGAUGAACCGAGUAGGGCGCCGACCUGCACGUGGGAACCUGGCCUUAGAUAUCUGUUAGCCCAUAAAACAACAAAUCUCGUGAUACUCGGGAUCGUGUCCAAGUUGCAUCGGAUGGAAUUAAAUGGCCACCUGAUGAUAAGAAAGGAUGCAGUACAUUCGUACGUACGACUAGCGUGACUAUGACAGGAGGAUACGAAUGUAGGACGGUGGUUACACGUCACUAAAGGACAAAAGAGAAAAGAAAUAAAAGGAAACAAAGGGGGAAGGACAAACUAAGCUUACCAAAAUAUACUCUGAGGCUAACCCCUUACUGCAUCUCAAACAUCAAUUGCCAGCAUCUCUGGAAAACGAAGGAGAUCUUUUCAUCACCGGAGUUCUCAUCCUCAUUUCACCCACUAAGAUCCACAUGGCCAGUCACGGCGAAAACUAUACCGAAAACACUCCAAACUACUUGAACUCAACUUAGGAAGGUCCACAGUUCUCAUUCUCUAGCCCAACCACCCAAUAAAUUAGUCACCCAUAUUGUUUAGCCCUUCACCAAGCUUAGCCGGGACCAUGCCCCAAACUACACUACCUGAACAAGAACUUGAAAGCAUGGCUCUCCAGUUACAGAAUAUUGCCUACUUGCUAGGCCAUAUAUUAUAGCAGAGAGGGCUCAGUGCCCUAUUGAGCAUACCACCUGCAGCCGAGAGACUCAACAAAGAGGCCCAACCCACAUUAAACUAUCAAAUACCUCAAUAGAGCAGUAGGAGGACAGACGAUGGAGACGGAAAAGCCAGUCCGAGAAACGAGCCGAUAGCUCGAGCUAGAGGCAUGAUAGUGAGGGAGCUUAUCGAGAAUGAUAAGGCUGAGAGCUACUCUUCUAAACCAGUAGAAAGAUCGAAGAAUGAAGAGUUAGAAAUAAACUACCGCCUGGAGAAGAGGCCUGAAAGGAACGACGGGACGUAGACCAGAAGCUAGAAAGAUUGAAAGAGCAACUACUGACAAAACUGGGAGCACGAGACAACAACAGUCCCCUAUUGCCAACCUCAUUGUUGUUUAUGAAACGGGUUCAACAUGAAACCAUACUAAAGAAGUUCAUGAUGCCAACUAUGGUAGCCUAUGACGAGACAGGAAACCCUCGAGAGUAUGUAUUGAACUAAAGACAUUCAUGGAAUUGCAGACUCAUUUGAAUGCCCAGAUGUGUAAGGUCUUCCCUACCACCUUAACAGGACCAUCUCGGGCAUGGUUUAAUAGCUUGGAGUCAGGGAGCAUCAAGAACUUCAUAGACUUGGCCAGUGUAUUCAUUAGCAGAUUCAUUGCCGGAGUUCUUUGUAACGACCCGAAAACCGGACCGCUACCGGCGCUAGGAUCCAGAUCGACUUAAGGUCGUUGGGACCCAUAGCAAGCCUACUAUAUAUCCUGUGUACCUGAUAAAAUCCCAUACAUGAUCAUACAUUCAUAAAAACUUUAAACUUUUUAUACACCAAGCUUGACCUGUGCAUGCAUCAUAACUGUAAACAUACAAACCCUAUACUAGAGCCCUCAUCAAAUGCUCUUGUUGGGUCAACAUUACAUACAUCAAGCUUGGUUCAACAUAUAUCAUCAUUAAAUAUUAACAUAAGAUCAUGUACAAAAAGGGAUUAACCAUAUAUUAGGGCCAAGCACAAUACUAAUCCUCAUUACAUCACUGGACAAUACCUUACAUAACAUUACAUUAUUUUACAUAUCAUGUCCACUACUAAUCUAUUAUAUAGACAUAGUUUUUACCCUUGAUGACUUCUCGGUCUAUCCUGAACCUGCAAACCUGGGGGUUAGAGGAAAAGGGUGAGCUACAAGAGCCCAGUGAGCAGAACAACAAAACUGUUUAUAAACACAUGCCAUCAUGAAAUGCAUCACAUCACAAACAAUUCACAUCACGGAUGGAUUUGUCACCAAUAACCCUCUACAUAAUCCAAUUGUGCCAGGGGCAUAGUGCAGACCACACCUGGUCUUUCUCUUACAUAUACAUAUCAUAACAUUAUCCAACCAUGCCGAGGGCGUAGUGCAGGCCACACCCGGACUUUCUCUUACAUAGUGCUAGGGGCGUAGUGCAGGCCACACCUGGUCUUCCAUAUCAUAAUAUAGCAUAUCAUAUCGAGGGCUAAUGGAUCAUCCAAUAUCCAUCCACAUCAACAGCAAAUUAUGCAAUGCAUCAUAUUCGUGAUUUCUAAUGCAACAACCUAUAAACAUGGCAAUCGUGAUGCAUGAAAAUGCUUAGGAGUUUAAUUACUUUCAAAAUAGAAAGUAGUUCUAUUCUACUCACCUCUGGCUGACUCUAAACUAACUCUGAAGCAGCUAACACUGCUGGCCUCCUUGGUUCCUCGGGUCUGAUCCUACACAGGUGGACUCAAAUGAGGGACCAAACAUACUCUAUAAAGACUCAAAAAAAACUCCCCAAAAACCCCCUAAAACAUCACCAAAACAUGCAUAGAAAACAUGCAAAAGGAGGCUGAACAAGGCACUUUUGGCGGCAGGUUCGGUGGCCAAAAGUCCCUCCAGAGCCGAAAGUCAGGCACUUUCGGGAGCAGGGUUCAGCGGCCGAAACUCCUUCCAGAGCCGAAAGUCACCCACUUUUGGGGUCAAGUUCGGCGGCCGAAACCUCCCUCCAGAGCCGAAAGUCCAACUUUCGGGGGCGAGGUUUGGCGGCCUAAACUGCCUUCCCUGGCAGGUUUGGCGGCUGAACCUUGCUUCGGCGGCCGAACCUGGAUCUUUCUGAGUGGCAAAAUCCGAUUCUGCCAUCCCACACUCAGCCAUCCCAACUUUUCAACAUGCAUUCAACUAUUCUAAAACAUGCAUAAACACUUAUUCAAGCAUAUAGGGGCAUAAAACUAGCCUAUACCCCAACAAACAUCACAUUAAGCAUACAUUUAACAUUUAACUAACAUAAACCCUAACAUUUUACCCCUAGCCUAAACAUGCAUCAAAACCCUUAACCCCUUCUUAAAACUUACUUAAAACAUGAAAGAAGAGAAGGAUCUACACUUACCUCUUGAAGCUCGAGAGGAGGGUGAUCCAAACUUGGAGAUUGGGAGAGAUCGAGCUCCGGGAGUCUCCAAGCUUCAAAAACUUGAUCUUAGCUUAAAAAUCUUCAAGACAAAGUAAAAACUCAUCAAAAACCUGAAGGGAUUGAAGAAAAACAACAAAUCGACCAUGGAAGGGUGAAAUCUCACCUAUGCUCGAAAAUAGAGAGAGAAAACUCGCCCAUUUUCGGACAAGGGGCCUUUUAUAGGUGGCUGGCCAGACCACCUUCGGGGGCCAAAGGUGCCUCCGCAAGAGGCCAAUGUUCGGCGGCCGAACCUGGCUUUUUCCUUCCUUGGUCUUUUCUUUCAAAACUCAAUUUCUUUCUUUAUUAAAACUAUAAAAACACAUAAAAACACUUUAGAAAACCAUAUUUUACCCUUCUAGAGGGUUUCGACAUCCGAGAUUCCGCCGAAAAGUGGGAAUUCCGAUGCUGGAGUCUAGUCGGGUAUUACAUUCUUGCAGAAAGAAAAAUAAGCUACUUGGAAACCGUGCAGCAGAGGAGGAAUGAAUCCCUGAGAGAGUAUGUGGCCAAAUUCAACUCUGAAGCUUUGCUAAUACUCGAGCUAGAUGAGGGAAGGGCAGUAGAAGCCAUGCAGAAAGGCACAAGCUCCACGGAGUUCUUUGAGUCGCUAUGCAGAAAGCCCCUUACUACCUUGUCAGAGAUAAUAAAAAGAGCAAAGAAAUAUAUAAGGCAGGAUGAUGCCUUGACAACUAGCUGAUUUUCCAGGGAUGAUAGAGAAAGAGGCAGAGUUGGGGAGGACAAGAGACAAGACAGGUCAUAGAGGAGACAGGACCAAGGACCGGAGGCAUUGAACAAACACAAAUGGGAAAGAAAGGAACAGAGACCUUAUCAACCUUGGCUCCCCACUGAGGUCACUCCCCUGAAUGUGUCUAGAGCCGAAGUGCUCGUAGCAGUCCAGGACAAAGAUUUUGUGCAAUGGUCCAAGCCCAUGAAAGCAGAGGUAAGCCGAAGGGACUCGGAUAAAUACUGCCAAACCACAGAACACACGGCCAUGACACAAACAACUAUUAUUAGUUAAUAAACGAGAUAGAAAGGUUGAUUAAGAGAGGCCAUCUUCAAAAUUUUAUAAAGAAGCCAGAGGGCCAGAGAGCCAGAGGCAACAAGAAGGUGCAGCUGGAGAAAUGCCUAGGAGAUAGAUCGUAGCACCAAUAAACGACGACUCCAGCGGAACAAUCAACAUGAUUGUCGGGAGGACUGGAGGCUAUAUGAGUAGGAAAGGGAAGAAGAGAGGUAAAAAUGAAAAUGAAAGCGGCGCGAAAGUGAUGCAAGUCACUGAGCACUCCCCAAUAGCCAUCUCCUUUUCCUCAAAGGAUGCACAGGGGGUGCAGAUGCCCCACAAUGAUGCCUUGGUCAUCAAAGUAGUCAUCCAUAACUUCAGGGUUCAUAAGGUGCUCGUAGACGACGGCAACAAAGUGAAUCUAUAACCCUACCGGGUCUUCCAACAGAUGAAAAUACUCGAAGAGCAGCUCGUCAGGGACCAAGCUCGAGUCAAAGGGAUAGGGAGAACCCCAGUAGUGGUAGAAGGUAAUGUGAAAGUAGCCCUCACUCUAGGAGAGCUACCCUUGUCACGGACUCACUACAUAGUUUUCCUGGUGGUGAAGUUACCUCUGAGUUACAAUGCCAUCUUGGAAAGACUAAUACUGUAUGAUUUUGAAGCAGUGACUAGCAUUCAAUAUCUAACCAUUAAGUUCCCAAUAGAGGCAAGGGUCGAAAUCGUCUAGGGAAGGCAGGAGGAGUCCAGAGCUGUAUACCUGGCCACGGUAGAGGAACAAUGCACCCCAACAGAGGAGAUAAACCCUGAAAUUAUGAAGGUCAGAGAUGAAAGGAAGGAGGCCAUGACNNNNNNNNNNNNNNNNNNNNNNNNNNNNNNNNNNNNNNNNNNNNNNNNNNNNNNNNNNNNNNNNNNNNNNNNNNNNNNNNNNNNNNNNNNNNNNNNNNNNNNNNNNNNNNNNNNNNNNNNNNNNNNNNNNNNNNNNNNNNNNNNNNNNNNNNNNNNNNNNNNNNNNNNNNNNNNNNNNNNNNNNNNNNNNNNNNNNNNNNNNNNNNNNNNNNNNNNNNNNNNNNNNNNNNNNNNNNNNNNNNNNNNNNNNNNNNNNNNNNNNNNNNNNNNNNNNNNNNNNNNNNNNNNNNNNNNNNNNNNNNNNNNNNNNNNNNNNNNNNNNNNNNNNNNNNNNNNNNNNNNNNNNNNNNNNNNNNNNNNNNNNNNNNNNNNNNNNNNNNNNNNNNNNNNNNNNNNNNNNNNNNNNNNNNNNNNNNNNNNNNNNNNNNNNNNNNNNNNNNNNNNNNNNNNNNNNNNNNNNNNNNNNNNNNNNNNNNNNNNNNNNNNNNNNNNNNNNNNNNNNNNNNNNNNNNNNNNNNNNNNNNNNNNNNNNNNNNNNNNNNNNNNNNNNNNNNNNNNNNNNNNNNNNNNNNNNNNNNNNNNNNNNNNNNNNNNNNNNNNNNNNNNNNNNNNNNNNNNNNNNNNNNNNNNNNNNNNNNNNNNNNNNNNNNNNNNNNNNNNNNNNNNNNNNNNNNNNNNNNNNNNNNNNNNNNNNNNNNNNNNNNNNNNNNNNNNNNNNNNNNNNNNNNNNNNNNNNNNNNNNNNNNNNNNNNNNNNNNNNNNNNNNNNNNNNNNNNNNNNNNNNNNNNNNNNNNNNNNNNNNNNNNNNNNNCUUUCUGACUCUUUCCUUAUUUGGCACUUUCCAUAUAUGAAGACUUUCCAUAUAUGAAGACUUUCCUUAUUUGGAACUUUCCAUAUAUGAAAACUUUCCUUUUCUGGAACUUUCCAUAUUUGGCACUUUUUGGCAGUUUUAAGAGCAUUUUCUCCAGAUUGUCUCUUUACACCUAAUAUCUGCAAAACAUGGUUAAAACCGCAAAAUUAGGUAGAAAAGGUGUAAAUAAACAUCAAGAUUAUCAUGAUAAAGUGGGCUAAAUUAUGCUCUGUCACUAAGCCAAUGAAACAGAAGAAGAGAAUCUUUGGGAAGGAGGAGCAAUAGGCCACAAGGGACAACGUGGAGAAAUUAGAAAAGGCUGGGUUUAUUAGGGGAAGUAAUGUGUCCAUAGUGGUUAGCUAACCCUGUGUUAGUAAAAAUGGCCAACGGGAAGUAUAGGAUAUGUACAGACUUCACCAACCUAAACCAGGUCUGUCCAAAAGAUUGUUAUCUCCUCAUAGAUAUUAAUAAAAUGGUCGAUUCUACUGCUGGUUUUGAGUACUUAUCGUCUGUAGAUACAAUAUCGGGAUAUCACCAAAUCCCCAUGGAUAAGUCAGAUGAAGAGAAGACCUCCAUUAUAACUGAAGAUGAGACAUAUUGCUAUAAGGCUAUGCCUUGUGGGUUGAAAAAUGCCGGGGCAACAUACUAGCAACUGAUGAAUAAAAUCUUCAAAGACCAGAUAGGGAGAAAUGUAAAGGUGUGUGUCGAUGACAUGGUAGUUAAAAGCCAAACCUUCUACCAACAUCUGACUGAUCUAGAAGAAGUCUUUCGAGUACUGUAGCGGUACAGAAUGAGGUUGAAUCCUGCGAAAUGUGCUUUUUUCAUCAUAGGAGGAAAAUUUUUAGGCUAUAUAGUCAGUGUGAAAGGUAUAGAGCCAAACCUAGAAAAGGAAGAAGUCAUAUUGAACAUGCCUGAAUCGACCUGUGUGAGGGAUAUACAGAGGCUAACAGGGAGAGUAGUAGCACUUAAUAGAUUCAUGUCCAGAUCUGUAAAGAGAUGUCUACCCUUCUUCAAGAAUUUAAGGAAAGUCCCAAAUUUUGAAUGGUCGGAGGAUUGCCGAGAGACUUUCAAGAGCCUUAAGAAAUAUUUUAACUCCCCACAUGUGCUUAGCAGUCCUUUGGCAUGGGAAGAGCUGUUGAUCUACUUAUCUGCAUCAGAAUAGGCGGUAAGUGCCAUACUGAUAAGGGAAGAGGCAGGGAUUCAGAAGUCGGUCUCUAUGUCAGCAAAGUACUUAAGGACGCCAAGAUCAUGUAUAUGAACAUAGAAAAUUUGGCAUUUUCUCUAUUACUAGCCGUAAGGAAAUUCAGAAUGUAUCUAGAGGAUCGCCAAGGAGUGGUAAUGAUUGAUCAUCCUUUGAAAAAGAUCAUGCACAAGCUUGGAACUUUAGGGAGGAUGCAAGCAUGGUCAAUAGAAAUCAGCCCGUAUUGUCUCAUUUAUCGACCUCAGACAACAAUUAAAGCACAUACCUUAGCCGACUUCAUAGCUGAAUGCUCCUUCAGCACAAUCGAGAAAGAACAGAGUAAUGCGCUAUCGACCUCAGAGAAAGAGGUAGGAAGCAAACCCUAGUAUAUAGGAUCUAUUUGUGGAUGGGGCAUCAAGUUCUACAAGUAGUGGGGUAGGAAUCCUUCUGAAAGGGCCUAAUGAAUUCAAAGUAUAUUAUACCUUAGGCUUUGGGUUACCAGCAUCCAAUAACAUGGUUAAGUAUGAAGCUCUUCUAAACGAAAUACAAAUAGCCUUGGAAGUAGGGGCAACUGACCUCAGAAUAAAUAGCGAUUCACAACUGAUAGUGAACCAAAUAAUAGGGGUAUACCAGGCAAAGGACCAGUCAUGCAAGAGUACUUAGCUAAAGUACGAGUCCUAGAAGCCGAGCUCGGUGAGCAAGGAAUUAUAGUUGAAUACCGAAGAAUACCUGGAGAGAAAAAUAAAGAAGCAGAUCUACUUAGUUAACUGUCUAUAGAAGAGUUAGAGCAACUCUUAGACAAAGUGUAUGUGCAGCAAAUUGAUGUUCCCACUUUUUGAAAAGCCAGCCUCUAUUAUGCAAGUCAAUGAAGAACGAAGCUGGAUGACCCCAUACCUUGAAUACCUUAAGGCUGCAAAAUUACCAGAAAACAAAGCAAAAGCUCAAAAAAUCACUGCUAAUUACCAGGCGAUAAGAGGGACUCUAUAUAGGAGAGGAAAGUCCAGCCUAUGGUUAAGGUGUGUAGGGCCGAAGGAGGCAUCCAAGAUAAUCCAAGAGAUACACUAGUGGGUCUGUAGAGUUCAUGAAGGAGCAACCACAUUGGCAAACAAGAUCUUUCGACAGGGGUAUUACUGGCCUACAGCGAAAAAAAAAGCCAGAGAAUUUGUGAAGAAAUGUGAUAUCUAUCAAAGGUUUGCUAAUGCCACCAAUAGUCUAAAUACACCACAGUUAAGUAUAUCAAGCCCGUGGCCGUUCUCACAGUGGGGGGACAGAAAUUUUGGAACCAUUCCCUAAUACUGUGGGACAGAAGAGGUUUGUGAUCGUGACUAUAGAAUACUUCUCCAAGUAGCCCGAGGCAGAGGCUGUGCUUACCAUUACGACCCAAAAAGUGAUAGAAUUUGUAUAGGGCAACAUACCUGCCAGUUUGGGAUACCCAGGACACUCAUAUCAGAUAACGGAAAGCAAUUUGACUGCAACUCUUUCCAAAAUUUCACAAGAAACAUGGAUAUAUAUGGUAUCAAUUUUCCUCAGUAGCUCAUCCACAGAUGAAUUACCAAACUGAUGUGAUGAAUCGACCUGUCCUCCAAGGGCUUAAAAACGAUUAGACGGUGCUAAAAAGAAUUGGGCAGCUGAAUUGCAUAGCAUCUUGUGGGUAUUAUGUAAUAGACCUUGGACAUCAACAGGGAAAACCUCGUUCACACUAGCAUUUGGGACAAAAGCUAUAGUUCCCAUAGAGCUUGUAAUGAUCUGGAAACCAGACCGCUACCGGCGCUAGGAUCCAGAUCGACUUAAGGUCGCCGGGACCCGUAGCAAGCCUACUAUACAUCAUGUACACCUGAUAAAAUCUCAUACAUAAUCAUACAUUUUCAUAAAAACUUUAAACUUUUCAUAUACCAAGCUUGACCUGUGCAUGCACUAAAACUGUAUACAUAAAACCCCUUACUGGAGCCCUCAUCAAAUGCUCCAGUUGGGUCAACAUCUCAUAUGUCAAGCCUGAUUCAACAUAUAUCAUCAUUAAAACAUUUCAUAAAGAUCAUGUACCAAAAGGGAUUAACCAUACAUUAGGGCCAAGCACAAUACUAAUCCUCAUUACAUUACUGAACAAUACCUUAUAUUACAUUACAAGUCCACUACUAAUCUAUUACAUAGACUAUACCAUAACCUUGCUGACUUUCCCAUAGCUACCUGAGCUCCUGCAAACCUGGGGGUUAGGGGAAAGGGGUGAGCUACAAAAGCCUAGUGAGCAGAAUAGUAAAAACAAUUUAAUAAACAUAUGCUUUCAUGGAAUGCAUCACAACACAAACAAUUUACAUCACGGAUGGACUGACCCAAAAAUCCCUCUACUCUGUGUCCGGCCCUAGAUGGAGCUCCUCAGGACUUCUAUUACAUAACAUAAGCUCUGUGCCAGGGGCGUAGUGCAGGCCACACCUGGUCUUUCCUGUACUCUGUGCCAGGGGCGUAGAAUGGCAGCCCUGGUCUUUCAUUACAUAACAUAAUAUCUAGAGGGCUAAUGGGUCGUCCUAUUAUCCAUCCACAUCAACAACCAAUUAUACAAUGCGGCAUAUUCGUGAAAUCUAAUGCAUCCAACCUAUUUUAUAUACAUGAUGCAUGAACAUGCUUAAAACAUUUGAUUUCUUGAAAUAAAAGAUUAGUUUAGUUCUACUCACCUCUGGCUGACUCUGAACUAACUCUGAAGCAGCUAUCUCACUGUUGGUCACCUCGGUUCCUCAGGUUUGAUCCUACACAGGUGGACUCAAAUGAGGGACCAAACAUACUCUAACAUGACUCUAAUAUCUCCCCAAAAAACCCCCUAAAACAUCAUAAACAUGCAUGGAAAAACAGGCAAAGGAAGACUGGGCAGGGGACUUUCGGCGGCAGGUUCGGCGACCAAAGGUCCCCACAGAGCCGAAAGUCAAGUACUUUCGGGGGCAGGGUUCAGUGGCCGAAGGUCCUUCCAGAGCCGAAAUUCACAACCUUCGGGGGCAGGUUCGGCGGCCGAAACUCCCCUCCAGAGCUGAAAGUACAAACUUUCGGGGGCGAGUUUAGGCGGCCAAAAUUGCCUCCCCUGGUAGGUUCGGCGGCUGAACCUUGCUUCGGCGGCCGAACCUGGAUCCUCCUGGGUGGCAGAACCCGAUUCUGCCAUCCCACAUUCAGCCAUCCCAACUUCCCAACAUGCAUUCAACUAGUCUAAAACAUGCAUAAACACUUAUUCAAGCAUAUAGGGGCAUAAAACUAGCCUAAACCCCAACAAACAUCAACAUAGCAUCACAUAAACAUACAUUUACCAUUUAACUAACAUAAACCCUAACAUUUUACAACUAGCCUAAAAAUGCAUCAAAACCCCUUAACCCUUCAUAAAACUUACUUAAAAACAUAAGAGAAGAUGAGGAUCGACACUUAUCUCUUAAAGAUCGAGAGGAGAUGCGAUCCCAAACUUAGAGAUAUGGAGGAACGAGCUCCGGGGGUCUCCAAGCUUCAAAACUUUGAUCUUAGCUUAAAAUCUUCAAAACAUGGUAAAAACUCAUAAAAAUCUUGAAGGAUUUGAGGAGAAAACACGAGAUCAUCAAGGGGGUGGCGGAGACUCACCUUGUCCGGAAAUAGAGCGAGAAAACUCACCCAUUUUCGGAUAGGGAACCUUUUAUAGGUGGCUGGCCAGACCACCUUUGGAGGCCAAAAGUGCCUCCGUAACUCCACCAUGUUCGGCGGCCGAAUCUGGGUUUCUCCUCCAAAAUAUUUUCUUUCAAAACUCAAUUUUCUUUCUUCAUUAAAACCAUAAAACAUAUCAAAACAUUUUAGAAAACCUUUAUUUUACCCUUCUAGAAGGCUCCGACAUCCGAGAAAUUCCAGAUUCCAAUGGAGAUUCCGCCGAAAGGUAGGAAUUCCGAUGCCGGGGUCUAGCUGGGUAUUACAGAGCUGCAGAUCCCCACUCACUAGGUUCAAUUCAAUGAUGAAAACAUCAGUGGUGAGAAAUUGAAGAGCAACUUGGAUACCCUAAAGAAAAUCAGGGAUGAAGCACAAGUGUGAACAACUGCUUAUCAGCAAAAAAGCAGCUUGGUACUACAACCAGAAAGUCUGGGAGAGAAACUUGAAGGUUAGGGACUUAGCCCUGAGGAUACUAGAAGCCACAGGAAAAGUGGUUGAUGUAGGAAAGCUAACACCAACCUAGGAAGGACCGUUUAGAGUCGCCAAAGUCAUCAGAUCGGGAGUAUAUAGAAUCGAAGAUUUGCAGGAGAAUCCAGAACCUCACGCCUGCAACAUCCAGUAUUUGAAGAGGUAGUUUCCAUAAGAUUUACAAUGUAACUAUUAUAGUGAGGAUAUGAAUAAAAAACUUCUUUUCUAUUCUCAAAAUACUCUUGAAAAGCGAUGAAGACCUCAAUGAGGUAAGUGACCAAUCUCAAAAAUAAGACCGCCGGUACUACAAAAUCGGUUGAGGAGAUGAAGACCUCAAUAAGAUAAGUGACUGGUCUCGAAAAUAAGACUGUCCACACCACAAAACUGAUUGAGGAGAUGAAUACCUCAAUGAGGUAGGUGACGGGUCUUGAAAAUAAGCUAGCCAGCACCACAAAGUUGGCCAGCACCAUAAAACUAGUUGAGGAGAUGAAGAGCUCAAUGAGGUAGGUGACCGGUCUUAGAAAUAAUAUCGUCGGCACCAUAAAAUUGAUUGAAGAGAUGAAGACCUUAAUGAGGUAAGUGAUUGGUCUCGAAAAUAGGCUGCCAACACCACAAAACCAAUUGAGAAAAUGAAGACCUCAAUGAGGUGGGUGAUCAAUCUUGGAAAUAGAUUGUCGACACUACAAAAUCGAUUGAGGAAAUGAAGACCUCAAUGAGGUGGGUGACUGGUCUCGAAAACAGACUGCUAGCACCACAAAACCAAUUGAGAAAAUAAAGACCUCAAUGAGGUGGAUGACUAGUCUCGAAAACAAAUCGCCGGCACCACAAAAUUGAUUGAGGAGUUAAAGACCAUGCUAAAGGCCCAUACUAGCAAAAAUAUAAGCCAAAAGAAAAAAAACCCAGGGUGUCGACCUCAUAAAAUGACCUCGGCACCAAGGCCCAUACUAGCAAAAAUAUAGGCCAAAAGAAAUAAAGGCAGGGUGCCGACCUCACAAAAUGACCUCGGCACCAAGGCCCAUAUUAGCAAAAACAUAAGCCAAAAGAAAUAAACGCAUGGUGUUGACCUCACAAUAAGACCUUGGCACUCUCAAGGCAAAACCAAAAUAAAACUAAGGCCAGGAACUGACUCCUGAAAUGGACCUCGAUCCUGUGAAUAUCAAAUUGCAAAUAAGGAAAAAAUACAACUUUGGAACAAUAUAAACCAAGACAGAGCUGCAUGAAAACUAAAGGCAAUCUUAGGAAAUGCCAACCUCAAAAACUAACCUCUAGCACUAAAUUAGCUCAAAGAAAGAGCUCACAACCCGACCAUCUAAAGGCACUAGAGGAGUAGAAGGCAUAAAAUCUAACGCGUUCAAUAAACAGAAUCCAAAACGCAAUAAGUUAUAUGUUUUUACUGGCAAAACAUCAAACGAGUGGCUAGCUCGGCAUUGCUCACAAACAAUAUAUGAAAAAAUAAUUUAAGUAUGGAAAUACAAACAAAAUCUAAAUAGACGGAAAAAUAAAAGCAAGCAACUGGAAAAUAACAAAAAGGUUCAGAAUUUUUAUUAAUCACUCUUUCCCUACACCAUUCGAAUGGGUUACAAAAGCAGCAAGGGAAGGGAGAGCAAAACUAACUAGGUCAUUUACAAGAUUGCCCUCCUGCAGUCCAAGGGGCAAGGAAGGGGGAUUCUUGAGCAGGGGAUUAUUGUCCUCUCUGUAGCAAACCUCCUCACAGUCGAAAUCGAGUUCGAGGGCUCAUAGGUCAGCCAAUGGAGUGGAGGGGGCAUCACAAGCAGCUUUGAGGCCCUGGUUAAAGCCUAAAGCGAACAUGCAAAAAGCCUCCUUAUAUAUUCUUUCCUUUAACUCUGCCAAGCCCUUAUACUCCUCCAACCGUGCUUCGCAAGCCUAUUGAAUUUUCUCCUUUAGCUCUGAGAGUCCUUGAACUCCUGCAGCCGCACUUCACAGGCCCACUGAACUCUGUCCUCUACAGCCCGAACAUCCCUUAAUAAGGAGGCACACCUCUCCUUUAUGGCAGAAACCUCUUGGCAGAGUUCCCGCUACUGAAGUCAAGACUCCUCCGCUGCUGAGGUCAUGCCCUUCAAGUCCUUGAUGUGUUUGUUAAGCUCAUGCUAGAGGACAGUAGCACAAGUCAAGGCCUCAUCGCGCUAUGCCCAAGCCUCAUCGCGUUGACGAUGAAUCUCCUCCAAAGCAGAUAACUGCAUGAGGGCUUCAUCUCGCUAAGACUCCACCGCAGAAGCCUGUUGGGAAGCUUUGGAAACCUCCUCCCUAUCUCCCCCAACUACUUGGUCAGGUCUUUGAUUUGCCUCCGGAACUCAAUAAUGUGCCCACGAGCCUCAUUAGUGGCAACCAGAUUCUCGUCCCGACAUGCCUCAGCAAUGCGCUCGUCCAUCAAGCUCUGGAGAGACCAAUUUCGAGCAUUGAUCUCCAUGAAUAUGCCAAAGGACUAUCAUACAAAAGAAAAAGUAAAGUUUGAAAAGCUAGAAACUCAAAAACGCUUUGAAAAAAGUCAAACAACUUACCAUGAGGAACAUCUCUCUUAAACUGUCCCCGAGAUCCUCUAGGGAACGCGAGCUAAAAGCCACCUGCUGCUUAGUGGCCCAAGUCAGAUGACUAAUGAGCGCCAUAAAACAAGGGUCAAAAGCAUCCAGGACCCCUCAAACAUCUUACUACUCAGCAUCUCAGCCACGAGAGCUGGCUUUGACUCUAUGGUCACCUCAAUCACAUUUAACAACUCAUUGUCUAGGUUAGACAACAAGUACAUUACCACCAUUUUCCCCUCAUCAAUGGGAAGGGAAAGGGCUGCCUCUAUAGGUUCUGAAGUCUGGGCACAUUUAGCAGCCCUGCCUUUGAUUGUGAUAGCACUCACAGCUUGAAUGGGUGGGACAUCCAAGGGAGCAGUUCUGAUGCCCUCUUUCUAGCUACUCUCAAUCAACUCGCUAAUCGCGAUAGGCUCUUUAGGAACUUCCUUUGGAGCGGAAGGAGCCUUGGAAGAAGCCGGCGCUUUAGGAGAGACCGACGUCUUAGAAGUCGUUGAACGAGAGCCUCUGACACGGGCACUAAAGCCAGAGAAGGUGCAGGGGUAGGAGCAGAAUGACAAGCUGAAGAUGCGAGAUCUGUGGCAUGAAAAACAUCUUUGGUCACAUCAGCUAUAGACUUGUUGGCCUCAAAGGCGGCCAGAGUCUCCUUCGCUCUCCUAGUAUAGAGUGAAGUCCUUGAAAAGCUUGAUGGAACCUAUUGGCAUGGCAGAAGCUGAAAAGGAAAUAUCAGUCCAGUCAGAGCUCGAAACAACAAAAGAAAAAUAUAAAAAGAAAGAAAACUAAAAAAAAUACCAGCUUUCCGACAGUCCUGCAGGUUAGACAUAAAUAUGCACUUCUCGGCGUCAUAUUUAUUCUUUACAUAGGUCAGUUGGAGAAAGCAAAUUCGGUCUACUAGACUUAACCUAGGAAGUUAUUACAGUCCUAAGGAAUUUCUCUCCAAGAGAGGUUGAUAUCCCAGUUAACCCUUGAGCUUUCCUUUCCUUUAGCUCGACAACCACAAAAUUAUCUACCCAACCUUUAAUCAAGUCCUUGUACCUUGUGAAUAUAAAUAACCUAGCCCGAGGACAAAAAUAGCAAAAUCCAUGGGUAGACCUAACUAGGUGGAAGAAAGUACAAACAACUCGAUAGAAAGGACAAAACUCUAACACAGACAGAUGGACUCAAAAUAGCACAUGAAUAGAAUAGAGUUAGGGGACAACAUUCGUGGAAUCACCCUAAAAUGACGGAAAACCUCGAUAAAGAAAAGGGUAAAAGGAAAGGUCAGCCUAAAGUCACGCUGUUUGACGAAAAAAACCAAGUUACCCCCUGCUGAGUGUCUAUCAGGUUCGUCGGCAGUGGGUAAGGGAGAACAAUUCAUUCAUUGGGCAAAGGAGCUCCAAUUUUAAAAAUAAUGGUGUUAGAAUAGUCACGGAAAAAAUAGUGUCAGAAGAAGGAAGGAGUAACAGAGGACACCAGACUCACUACAUUGGGAAUUCUAAUAGAAGCCAUGAGAGGAGUAAGACGUACCUCGAAUUAAAAAAUCAUGGAUUAUAGAGAAAAAAAAGAGCAAGAUAGCAGAAGCAGCGCAAGAGGCAGAGUAACGAGUGAAAGCAAGAGCAUAAGUUUGAAAUAGAUAAAGGUAAAGAAGAGACAUUUUGACAGAAUUCUUCUAGAGUCGUGCGAUAAUAAUUGAAAUCUCAAAAUUUACCCGCUCAUAAAUCAUGAGAUAAUUAAUAAGCAGGUAAAUGGGCAUUUGAUAACGACCGGGCCCUGGACGCUCAAGCUGUGGCUAAGCCCGGACUAGAAAGGCUGGGCCUUAGUUUUAUUAGGGUCCAAUACAUGGGCCUACUCCUUGUACAAGUCCUGGACUUGUCCUGACGAGUCGGCCAAGGCACGGACCUACAUGUGGGGGACCUAGCCUCAGAUAUCUGUUAGCCCCAUGGGGCAACAAACUCCGUGAUACUCAGAAUCGUGUCCAAAUAGUACCGGAUGGAAUUAAAUGGCCGUCUGACGAUAGGAAAGGAUGCAGUAUAUCUAUAUGUACGGUCAAUAUGACUAUGAUAGGAUUAUAUGAACGCAGAACAGCGGUUACACAUCGAUAGAAGAAAAAAAAGAAUAAAAAAAUAAAUUAUGAAAUAAUUAAUAAGCAGGUAAAGGGGCAGUUGAUAACGAUCGGGCCCUGGACGCUCAAGCCGUGGCUAAGCCCGAGCUAGAAAGACUGGGCCUUUGUUUUAUUAGGGUCCAAUACAUGGGCCUACUACUUGUACAAGUCAUGGACUUGUCCUGGCAAGUCGGCCAAGGCACGGACCUACAUGUGGGGGACCUGGCUUCAGAUAUCUGUUAGCCUCAUGGGGCAACAAACUCCGUGAUAUUCAGAAUCGUGUCCAAGUAGUACCGAAUGAAAUUAAAUGGCCGUCUGACGAUAGGAAAGAAUGCAGUAUAUCUAUAUGUACGGCUAAUAUGACUAUGAUAGGAUUAUAUGAACGCAGGACAACGGUUACACAUCGAUAGAGAAAAAAAAUAAAAAAAAAUAAAAGAAGAGAGACAAACCAAAUUUACUAAAAUAUAUUUUCAAUCUAAUCUCUUACGACGAUUAAUAUUUAUAAUAGAUAUAUAUGUCUCAACUUUUUAAGAAUAUUUGGCGAUCAAACACAAUAUGCAAUGAAAGAUUACAUACAAGUAAGAGGUGUGAUGUAGAUAUGUAGAGGAAGUGUAAAGUCACAAGAUAUAAUUUUAAAAAUAAAUAAAUAAAUAAAUAAUAUAUAUAUAUAUGACAGAUACGAAAAAGUAAUUUUGCAUUUUUUAUUUUGCCCCACUUGCCCACAAAGAAGGCAGUUUUCAUCUCUAUCCCUCCCUGAAUAAUUUUUCUGAUGACAGUUGAGGAAAUUUGGUAAGAUAUGAUUGUGUGGCUUUAAUGUUUUGUUUUUGUUGUGAAAGGGGCGAGGCAAAUGUUUUUGGGUCCACUAGCUUUUUUUUUCUUCUAAAUUGUCUAAAAGAGAGAUUUGUCAAACCAUGGUCGGUGGAGAAAGUUAUUUCGAAUUUUGGGGAGAGGAAAAAAAUUUCAGAUUCUUUUUCACUUUCAGAUUGGAUGGUUGAAUUUGUAUCAGCCGUAGUAUCAAGCUAUUAAUAAAAAAAUAAUAAUUUGUUUCAACAGUGCUAUCACGCUAUUAAUAAAAAAAUAAUAAUUUUUUUUAUAUCUAUUAAAAAUAUUAAUAUAAAAAUUAUAUUAUAAAAUAUUAAUUUAAUAUAAAUUAAAUUAUAUAUUCAAAAUAAAAAUAAGUGGCUUUUAAA
rnacentral:lncRNA from 1 species